UUCUAAGAAAAAUUUAAAUCAAACAACUCAAAACUAAGAACACGAACAUAUAUGUUUGAAUUAGACAAAACACACAAUAAAUGAAAAAGUAGAAUGAAAAUCAAAUGGUUAAGGUAAGAAUAUAGGUUAAGAAUAUCAAGAUACAAAAUUAAAUAAUUCAUAUAUACUCUACAAAAUACAAGGAAGAAGUUUUCCAUUCAUAGGAUCAUAAGACAUAUUCAAGAAGCUAACCAAAAAGUGUAUAAGAAAAUCCAUGUAACUAAUUAUAGGAGAGACAAACUAUUCUUGCUCUUGUACAUGCAUGCAAUAAUGCAAUAAUGCAAUAAUUAGGUAAUUAGGUAUGCAUAUAAUAAGUAGUUGAAGUUAGUUUAUAAUACUUAAUCACUUUAUUAUAAAACAUCCUAAAUACUUCUAAAAUAAUUUAAACGAUGUUUCUUUAAGAAGAUUUUAUUCAAUAUAUAUAAAAUCUACGAAUAUAUGUGAUAUUUUAAAUUUUCAAAUAGUCUUCAAUUUUUAUUUUUACUCUUUUGUAAUUUUUUCAAUUCCAACGUAUUUAAAACAAAAGGAGUCUCAUUUUUUCAAAAGGAACUUUCCAUUAUAUAUUUAUCAUUGUCCAUUUUCUAACUUCUUAUUCUCCCAUCUAUCUCCCUUUACAUAUUUACAUAUUUUGUAAAAUAUGCUUGAUGUUCGAAUGAGAUCUCAUUUCAGGGUUUUGAUCCCUAUUAAGUACGUAACAUAAAAAAUAAUGAUAAUUAAUAACAUUCAAAAUAACAAUAUAAAAUAUAUAUUAAUUUAAUGAAAAUUUAAAUAUUAUCGGUGAUCUAUAAAACAUAAAAAAAGUUAUAAGACAUUUUUUCUUAAUGAUUUUUUUUUUUAAAAAAAGUUCAACAUUAUUUUCAUUUCAUUGACUUAUAAUGUUAAUAUAGAUACCCAUUGUAAAACACAAAAUUAUUCAAAACAGUCAAAAUAAUCAAAAUAGUAAAAAUAACUCUAUUAUUUUAGAACUCACUUUUUAACUAUAAAAAUUAUAGUUAAAAAUUAAUAACCAUAAAGACAAAAAUAUGCAUAUAGCGUUGUAUGAUCUUUCCAAUGACAUCAAUAAACCAUGCUCUUUUUCGGGUUGCAGGCCUUUGUUGAUGUAAAGCCCAAACGCAGGCCCCAAAGCAUUUUUUUUUUCUUUCUCUUCUCUUAUUCUCUUAUUCUCUCCCAUGCCUUUUAUAGCCUUCCCACUUGUUCUUUCUCUCUUAAAUUUCACCUUCAAUUUCUCAUCCUUUUCAAAAUCAAAUUGCACCAUAGUGAAAUUGAGAAGCUAAGGAACAUUUAGGACCAAUCAAUUUCGUCUUUUGAGUAAUGCCCAUUUUUCAUUCAAAUGAUAUAUUUUCUCUCUUGCAUGUGGUUUCUUUCGGUUGCAUGUAUUUUAUCUGCCUUCUAGAAGAAUCUCUAUCCGUUGGUGGUCAUAAAAUUGAGCUCUGAUCGUUGAUCAAACUUUUGUUUGUGUAGAUAGAGAAAUUAUACGUUUUGAAGCUGUGUAGGAGAAAAUCAAUGUUAGUAAUUUUCCCUCUUUUAAUUGAUAAUUGUUGGAAGUCCCACAUCGACUAGAGAUGAGGUCAUUUAAGUGUAUAUAAGUGGGUGCAAACCUCACCCUACAAGCCGGUUUUGUGGNNNNNUUUGUGGGGUUGAGUUAGGCUUAAAGUCCACUUCUAACAUGGUAUCAGAGCCAUGACUGGAACCCAUCCUAGCGAUUUCUGUUGUCGUUGGGCAUAUUGAUCCACCCGCUAUCGGACCACCCAUUACCUCGGCGUGAGGGGGGUGUGUUGGAAGUCCCACAUCGACUAGAGAUGAGGUCAUUUAAGUGUAUAUAAGUGGGUGCAAACCUCAAAUGGAAACCUAAGAUGUACUUAAAAUUGAAUGUGAAUUAGAGAUUUUUAUUGUUGCUUUGCAUAUUAUGUAGUCUUUUGAAUGUUAAUUUUGUGAAAUUGUUGAAGAAUAGUCUAUUUUAUGCAUACUGAGUAAUGUAUCAAUGUAGAACGAAAAAUGGUAUUGAGAGGGUUGGGGCUUGGCAGAAAAAUGUUUCAUCUAGAAAUAUAUUGAAAUGAAGUAUACCCGACGGAAUUAAAUACGUAUGACAAAUGUGCACUAGAAUGAGAGACAUUGAAUGAUAUUUGAUAUGUUGAACAAUUUAAAUUGAUUCUUAUGCAUGAUGUAAGAUCGGUAAAUAGUACUUUAGUAUAAAUGAAAGUAUUGAAUGAAUAUUGUAUAUGAAACUGUUAUAUAUAUGAAGUUUGUAUAAAUGAGGUUAUAAGAUAGAUGACUUAUGAGAAAUUGUUGAAUGAUUGUGAACUUGAUGAUGGUAUGGUAAACUGAUGUGCACUGUGAUGGUACUUACAACCACUAUGUUUCUUGAAAGUAUAGUCUAUGAAGAUUAAAAGCAUAGACAGAUUUAAGUAUAACUUAGACGGUAUGUAGAAUCUAUUUUGAUUUAUGAAAGGCGUUACUUUAGGAAUUGUGCAAAUUGUGGUUAAUGGUUAAAGGUAGAUAAGAAUAACCUAAAGCUAGGUAAGACACUUAAUUUGUACUAAAACUAGUUUCUAUUGCAUCAUCGUUGGGCAUUAAGUAAGCACCAUCGGGUGCCACUUUAAAAAUUUGUAAAUCUAGGUGAGUCCAAGUGUAUUGAAGGGAAUUUGUUGUGUGAGACUAUCCUGACUCUAUUAGUAUCUAAUUUACAUAGAGGAAGAUAAUUGGAUGGUGAGAGUCGAUUUAGGCUUCACAAAGCAGACAAGAUGAUAUGAAAUAGGAUCAUAUCUUGGGAGCCACUAAAGUUAAUCCUGUCAUGACUUGUUGAGGAACAUGAGUUCAUGGAUGUGAUUAUAAUAUGAAGAAAUUGGUGGUAAGUAUGAAAAGUGCAAAGUCUCACAAAUCUAUUCAAUACUAGUUAUUUAGGAAGCAAAGUCUAGAUUUUGUGUGUUAUUUGAGCCACUUUGAGUUGUAUGAUUUUGAAGCCUUGUAGGCUGAUACCUAGUAAUUGAUUUGAUGAAUGUGAACUAUUUAUGUUAUUAGGCUGGUUUAUAAAAUGAAUAAUUUGUUGUUUGAGCGAGUUGGAUUGAGAUUUGAAUGAGCUAGUUGGAUAAAGCCGUAGGGAUUGAUGUUGAUAGUUAAUCUAGAUGAAUGAGAAAUAUGUGAGUCCUUUUUAUAUUGCGAGUAAUUGACUAAUGAAAUUAUGAAAGACAUUAGACAUGUUAAUCUAAGAAUUGGUUCUUCUCUAAAAAAUAAGUUAAUGACAUUAUCAUAUAUUUUGAUAUAUUGCCAUAUCCUAUAUAUAUAUAUAUAUAUAUAUUAGUUCUCUUCAUUUAAAAUGCAUUAGCUUAUCUUUGCAAUUGUUUUGAUUGUGGUUUUGGUCGUAUUAUUUAUAUGGGAGAAGAUGAAGGUGCAGGUAGUAGUACAAAACAACAAGUCUUUAUAUGGAAGAAGGUGAAAGUGCAGGUAGUAGUACAAAACAACAGGUCUUGAGUGGGUAGGAACAUGGUGUGAUUUAUAGAGUUGGAGAAUUUUCUAUAUGUGUGUAUUAUAAAGUAUAUUUUGCUGUCCUCUUAGAUUAUAUUUUAUAGAAUGUUUAAACAUUUUGUAAUAAGAUAAAUGGAGGACUGUAAAUAUACUCUACAAUUAUGUGACUGAUUAUGCUUUAUAUCAAUCAGGUAAUAUCUCACUUAGUAGGAAAAUUUAGCUAAAGGGGAGUGUUACGGUUGAUCUACUUGCAACUUAAUCUACUCGUUUCUUUUCUUUUUCAUUUUCAAAAUAUGCAUAUGAUGUAGUUGGUGUUGUAGGUUGAGAAUCAGAUUGAGGUGAAAUUAGGGAUUGACUAGUUGCAGAUAUCUCCCUUUCAAGGUUCAUGUGGACCUUAUCAAGAUUGAUAUUGUCCUGCACAAGUUGAAGAAUAUUGCAAGAAACUAUCUUCCUACUAAUGCCACAUUAGUUAACAAAUUCAACAUUAGGGUUUAUUCUUAAAACUACCAAAUCACUAUGCGUUUUACCAAGUCUGUGGUCCUAACUGUGAACUAAUUGGCCUCCCAAAAUGACAAGCUCAUGUAUACUUUUGACAAAGGUUCCAAAAUGACAGACUAAUUCAACCUAACACUUCCAAAUAAUUAUUAAGGCAUAAUAUUAAAAGUAUUAAAAUACAUACCUUCUAAUUUGUGAUUAUGAACAAAAUCAAGGAGUCACGAUCGAACCUGCAAAACAUGAAGCAGAGUACAAAUCCCAAAUCUCCAAUAACCACUCCACCAUCAAUUUUAAUUUGUCCAAAGCAAUGUAACAAAAACACUAAAAAUUAGGCAAAGAAGUGAGCUGGGCAUGAAAAAGAGGGAAAGCGAAAAUAAAUUCUGGAAAUCGAAAGAGAAUAUUGGAAUUUAGGCAAAGAACUCAAUUAGGGCAUGAGAAAGAGAGGAAUUGAAAAUCAAUUCAGAAAAUUGAAACAGAGCAGUAAAACAUACCACGCCACACACAGUCAAAAUGAAAGCCAAAAAACCAAACUGAGAUAAAAAAAAAAAAAAAAAAAUUGAUAGAGGAAGAGCUGACUGAGCUUCAAACUGAUACAACAAGGAGCGAAAACAACACUUUUUUUUUUCUCUCUCGAAAAAUAUUUUUUUAAGAAUAUUUCUUUUACAACUUUUUUUUACGACUGUGUAUUUCAAAUAUUUUUUCAAAAAUAAUUUCAAACGAACUAAUAAAAUUAUAACAAAUUAUCUUUUAUAGAAAAUGCUAAAAUAAAUUGGUAACAUAUUAAGAUUUUUUUUCUCUGUACAGAAAAGAGAAGAUGAAUUUCAACUUGUUUGUGUUCAUAUGUAACCAUUUAAACUUUAUUUCGUAUAAAUGAUUUUUACUUUCUCACAAAAUUAAUUUAGUUUAUACAUUGCUCAAGUUAUUCAAAAAUACUUAAAUUUAACAAAAUUAAACUUAGCAAUAUUAAAUAUGUUGUGUGAUUAUUUAUAUUCAUCACCAUUUACAAAUAUUAUAAAUUUUGUUUCAAUUUAUUAUUGUCAUUAUUAUUAAAUAAAAUAAGAAAAAUAGAAGUUAAAGAAUAAUGAAUCAAAGUUUUUAUGGAGCCAGUCCUGAAGCUUAAAUAAUAAGAAAAAAAUAAUAUUAAAAGUUAGUAUACAAAUCAAAGUUUAUAAUUUUUGUUGGUUUUAAAAUCUUUUACAACCUUUACUUUUAUUACAAAACUUUCAUAUUAUGUAAUCAAUGUUUUGUUUAUUAGUAAUUGAAAUACACAUUUUAAAGAUUCUUUUAUUGAAAUUUUUGUUGUUAAUAUAUUUCAAUAGAUAUUUAAAUUUAUAAUUAUUUUAGCUUUUUUUUUUUUUAACUCGUCUAAGUUGUAAACACUAACAACAUUAUCAUGUUCCUCUCUGAAACUUAUCUCUGUUUUCUCUUUCUCUUCGUUCAAUCCCUUUCCUCAAACUCCACUGUUUGUUAUUUCUUCCAACAUUAAAAAUGGCGGUUUUGUCGCCUCCAACACUGUCGCCUCUGCUUCUCAACACCAACUCAGAGUUCGGUUCGCCACCAUCGUUUCCUCUUCUCACCUUCUCCUCCACAUCCACCACUCGCUCCUCCUCACCCCUCUCUGUCUCUUACAGUAGUAAGUUCGUUCUUUCCACUUCACCCACUUGGAAAGUGUUAAAUUUUCAUGUUCUGAGCUCACUGGAAUCUCUUCUUUCUUCUUUAUUUUGCAGAAUCCGAAAAUGGGUUGGCCAGUGAGCAGAAAAAAAUCUUGCUUGAGCGCUAUGGCUACGAUAUUGAUGCUGAUGAGUACUUUUCUCACUCGUCUUCUAAGGUCCCUUAUGCUUGAAAAUUUAUGUGCCAUAUUAUAUCUCAAUAGGAUAAACCGCUAAUUUGGUCUCAAGAUAUUGCCAUUUCUCUUAUGUUGUCUUUAAAGCAAUCAAAUUGUUUAAGUAAUUCUGAAAGUAUUGAACAUUUAUCACUUGAGUCUAAGUGUAUGUUUUAGUUUCUGUUAGGAGAGGUCAAAUGUACUUUUACCCUGGCAGCAACAAAAUUCAGUGCACGUUUGAUUAGAGUUUACAUAAGUACGUGUUUCAACAUAUGAAUUGAGGAGAAAACAUUUGUUGCUUCUGGAGUCAAAAUAAUUUUUAGUUCUUGCAACUUUAGUCUAAACAUACUCUUGUUCAUAUUGUGCAUUGGAAUUUGCACAACAUUUCCCAAUUUUAUCAAAACAUUGUUGAUAUUUUUAAUUAAAGCUCAAGGACCCAUUUGAAAAGUUCUAUAAUAUUCGGGGACUAAUUAGGUAAUUUCUAAUACUUUACUUAAGGGACACUUUGGCGAGUGCAAUAGUUCAAGAAUGAAACUAGUGGUUAACUAUCUUAAUAAAGGCUUUGGAAAUUGUGUUUUGUAAAUUUUACUGUGUUUUCCCUUUUGUUUUAAUCUUCUGAAUGCAACACUUUUUUAGUCCAAGAGGAGAAAGGAGCCUCCGAAAAGAAGAGGAGGGAAGCAAGUACAGGAUCCACCAGAGGAUCCCAAGCCUCCUCGUACUACCCAUAAAUUGCUUCAGGUAUCUCAUUUUUAGGACUUGCAUCUUUAGAGUGCUAAUUGAUGACGAAAAUAGAUUGCUAGUGGGCCUUUGUGUUUUGUAAACAAAACUGUGUAAGUGAUGCGUUCCAAGUAAAAUGCGCCCAACACUCAACAAUUGUUAAUUUAACCCCAUUUUCGUGCUUAGCUCACUUUAGUGUAUGAUGAAUUUCCUGCAUUCCUAAAGGUUUUAACAUAAUAGAUGUUGGACUCUUCUUGUUUGUGAGUAUUUUUCUUUAUAUAUUGAUCAUUUCACUUAUCUCCACUCAAUAUAGAACUCCUGACUCCACACUUGAAUUCUUCACAAUAGAGAUGUAUGAAAUUUCUUAAAAUUUGAGUUUGAACAUACCUCAGCUUGAAAAACUAGAUAAUAGGCUGUGGAUUGUCAUCCACUUUUAUAUACACUAUUUUUACCUUAUUACUAGUCAAUGUGAGAUCUUCAUUAGACUCCACCACACCAAGAAACUAAACAUCUCAAGUGUAGUGUGAAAUUCUGGACUACAUCUGCUAUUUUGAGUAGUCUAAUAACCAGUCCAAUAGGACUUGAAACAACCAUUUAGACAGACUUUUUUUGUAACAUUUUAGAUUUUAGAUUUAGGACCAACUCAACCUCAAAAGCUAGUUUUCAGGGUGAGCGUUCCCCUCCAGUGAUAAUAUGUAUAUCACUAGUGACUAGCCAAUGUGAGAUUUCCAAUGGAAUUUUGUCACUUUCAUGUUAUAUUACUCUCCCAUAUUUAUAGGCUUCAUAUUUUCCUCGUUGAAAGUCAUUCUUGAUUUUUAAAGAGUAAGAAUAUAUACAAGCUUAUGGAGUGUAUCAGUUUGAGACUCUACCAUAUUCGGUUCUUAACUCCUUAAAAUCUUAAGUUGGUUAUUUAAUGGAUGGAAAUGAAAGUUAUGACUGGUGGUAUGGUUAUCAGCCCUGUUUCAUCUCAUAUCUGAAAAAUGGUACGGUAAUUUUACUCCAUUUCUUUCUUGCAACCAUUGUUGCCCGGGUAUGUUCAUCUCUCGGAUAUUAAAAAUUUAAUGCUGCCUCAUCUAUUUUUUAUUGUGAACUAUAUCACUUGAACAUUUUAUUGUUUUAUUUUGUUUUGAAUGUUGUGUUCAAGUCUUUAUCGCUUAAAGUAGUUAACUUGUACAGCAAUUAAUGCAGUGCGUUCAGAUAUUUAACUGUUGUCUUCUUUAAUUGAUUUUCAUGCGUUUUGUUAAUUAGUCAUGUGCUUUUUAGUUUCACUUGCCUCUAGACAUUCAAAACUCAAGGGGAUAUGGCCUUCAUUUACUGAUAUUAAAUCCUAUAACAAAUAGUAUUUGAAAGUGAUGAAACCUUGGCCUUUUCUUCCAGUACUACAAGCCUGGUUGGUUGAUUUCAAAACAACGGAGGGGCUGACUAAAUCUGAGUCCUACAGUAACAAUGGGUGUUUGGCUAGUUUUUACUUUUGCAAAAUCUAUCUAAGUCAAUUUCAGUGUGGGUAUGAUUGAUUGUGAAAAAAGUGAAAUUUUUUAACUUUUCUAUUGGCAUAACUGAUUUUCGAUGUGAAAUGGACCCCACAUAGGUUCUUGGAGGAACAGCUCGAAGAGUUAAGCUACUCUCACCAAAGGGCAUGGAUGUACGCCCCAUGAUGGAAGUGGUGAAAGGUGCAGCCUUUGAUAUAUUACAGGUACCAGUUUCAUGUUUAUCUCCUAUGUUGUUUUUUUGGUAAUUAGGUACAAUUCUGUUGUGGUAGAUUUCCUGUUUAUGCUAAUAAUUUCAUUUUUAAAUACUAAGGCAGCUGGUGGCUGUCCUGCAGCGUUGAGACCUGGUCGGUGGUUAGAUUUGUAUAGUGGCACAGGUUCUGUUGGAAUUGAAGCGCUUAGCCGAGGAUGUUCUGAGGUAUUAAUGUUUUCAGUAACAAGUUUACAUUCAUUAUGACUAUAGGUAGUGAGUUUUGCAAAAACUAUGAUCACUUAUCUUAUUAUCUGAGCUAUCUCCUAAGUGACAGACUAAGCCUUCUGUUGAGAAAUGAUAUUAACAGAUUUUCAUCAAGUUCAGGGAGAUGCACGAAAGGAUUUUUCAUAAUCUGUUUUUACAUAUUCCUGAAUAAAAUAAUACUUUUUGCUGAAGUCCCUUGUUUAUAUGAUCAAUCAGGUGCAUUUUGUUGAGAUGGAUCCUUGGGUUGUAUCAGAUGUUUUACGUCCAAACUUAGAGGAAACUGGUUUCCUUGAUGCUUCGGUCAUACACACUGUCCGUGUGGAAAAAUUCUUUGAACGUGCCGAGCAAUUUGUAGGCAUGUGUAUCUUUUCCUUUCAAGUCCAUUCUAUGCAUAUCUUUGUUGUGGGAUUAGGGGGUUACACAAAAUUAUAGUGUUACAAAAUCAUUUAUAACUCAUACUUUGAAUUUAAUUAGGAUGCAUUGAUAGUACAAAGAUUUUUUACAUUGAUAGUACACUUAUUUUUUACGACUUAUUUCUGGUAAUAAGGAUUUACCAGAAAGAGUUUUAGAAUUUGUUCAUUAUUUGACUGGUGUUCAUACUCUUAUUUAAGAAAAUGCAAUGAAUAUUUCUAUCAUCAUCUUCCACCACUGACACAACUAACAAAGUGAGUAAGCUAAGACCAAAAUUAACGUGGGAUUUCUUCUGCUGCUGUAAAUUUGAAUUGUUUACAUGCAGGUAACAGUGGCCCAUUUGAUUACAUUAGUGUCACCCCUCCAUAUACACAAGUUGACUAUGGGGUGCUGAUGAGGCAAAUAUCAGAAUCACCAUUGCUUGGAGAGAACACGUUUAUUGUGCGCACUGUUUUCAUACUUUCAAUUCAAUAUUUGUCAUUGUAUUGGUCUCCUCACUAAUUUUCAUGUUCUGAAUCAGGUAGUUGAGUAUCCUUUGAAAACUGACAUGCUAGAUUCUUGUGGAAACCUUGUGAAGGUAAUUUAAGUAACCAAUACUGCAUCUUCAUAGCAUAUUAUAUAUGUAUUAAUUGUCAACCAUUAUUUUUUCUUGACAUUCUUUUACCCUGAUGGGAUGCAGAACAUUGGACCUACAUUUAUGAAUUUAUGUUAUACAAUAAGGAAUGGAUUCAGUGACUUUUUCUGUAACUUUAGUUAGCUUUGUUCAAUUUUUAACUGGUUUAUUUUAUAUUUUUUUCUAGAAAAUUGAAGUUGAUCAUUCAACACAUGAAAAUUAACAAGUUACGUGUCGCUGAAUCUGUCCCCUAUGCAAUACAUGUGGAUUUUAAUGAUAUGCAGUUCAUACAGAUAACUGACAGACGGUUUGGCCGCACGCUCUUGGCGAUUUAUGGACCAACAUGGUCCCAGAAGAAGAGAUGACACAUUCAUAUGCCAAAGUUGCAGUAAAGCUGAAAAACAUGCUGAUGUAGUAUUUUAUCUGUUACAUGUGGCAACAGGAUUAGCUCUUGGCACCUAUCUCACUUCUUCAAAGGCUGUUAUACUACACAGUCUAAUGUUGUUCCCUGCAACAGGCCUUGUUAUGUCAUGUAAUGUGGUGAAUUAUAAGAACCUUGUGUUCUUUGCUAUUAUGAUAUGUGAUCCCUCUUCAGCUGGAAAUUGCUUUCUUAAUUGUAGUUUAAGGUUCCAUCAACCAACAGUGGUUGGCCAUAGUAGAAGUGGAUUGUGAUUGUAAAACGAAAAAGGAAAACCCCUUUUCCCCCAUAACCUUUUUGGUAUUUAAAUUUGAACAAAAGUAAGAGAUUGAUCAUGUAUGUGAUCGUGUGUUGAAAUUGAGUACAUAUGAUGUGAUACAAUGUAUCGUCAAACAAUGUAAUCACAACAAUUACGUAACCUUAGAAUCACGGGAAAACAACAUAAUCUGUCAAAAGCUGCUUUUCUCAUCUUUCUUUAGAAAAAUCACCUCCUUUUUCUCUUUACACUAAAAUGUUUUUUAAUAUAUAUGAACAUAUACCAUUAGUACUAAUACAACUCAGUACUGAUACAAUUUAUGGUAGAAAUAGUUGCAUAAAUGCUUCAAUUCUUAAAUUGGUAAAUGUUUGAGAAACAUUAUGUGCAAGUGUGAAUAUUUGCUGAAUUUGUAAUCUUAAAACUCAUGGUCCACAACAGAACCUAGAUUUGAUCUCUAACAUUUUCUUUCUUUUCUCAUCAUAGCACUAACUUAUCACAGUUUUUCUCAGUUUUUUCUUUCAAUAUCUCUCAUCUUCUUCCACUCAUGCAUCCUAUUUUUAGAUAUAAGUUCAUCAUCACCCCCAUAAUUUUGGCAACAGUUUCCAAACUCCAACCAUGCUAAAUGUUGGUCUUAUGUAUGACAGAUGGUUUGUCAGGUGAUCGUCUUGGUUCAACAAUGUCUUCAAGUGGUUUGGUUUAUCAUCUGGUCUGAUAUAUGAUCAGAUGAUCUGUUAGGUGAUUUUUCAAGCUCAACAACUUGUUAUUUGAUGGUUUAGUUGAUCAUUUGAUUUAUUAAAUAAUUGACUAGACUCAAAUGAUCUUAUUAUCUAUGAUUGAUUAUUUGGAUUGUAAUUAACUGGACGGUCAUAUGGUACACUAAACAUAUAAAAGCUUGAUUAAGAUAUCAAACCACAAAAAGAUAACACAAAACAAGAGACUUAGGUUGUUACUAAAAAACCUCAUGGUCAAAACAAGUCCCAUAAAGUUUCUUACACACUAACACUUUAUUCAUUGAAUUUAGCCUUUCUUCACAGUUCAAGGUGCAUUCAUUUGUUUCACACUAUGCAAUGGCAAAUCCAAAUACCAUGAUAAUUAGAAUAACCAUUACACACCAAAUUCUGUAUUUAAUUUUUAGUGAUUAUCAUUAUCAUUUAUACCAUUAUAUAAAUGAUACACCUUUUUUCUUAACUUUUUUUUGUCAUAUUUUAAUUAGACAAUUUUAUUCUUCAAUAACUUUUUAAUUAGUAAAACAAGUGAUUAAAUAACUUAUCUCUACUUUAAAUAACUAAAUAACUUCUCUAUUUAAAUAUUACUAUCAGAUACCUUUUUAAUCAUAUUAUUAUGUACUUUAAAUUGUAUUUUUUUAAUGAUUUUCAAUAUUAUUCUUACAAAAAGAAUUAUAUAUAUAUAUAUAUAUAUAUAUAUUAAACUUUAUUAUUUUAAUCUAAUGCAAAAGUGAAUAUAAACUAAUAAUUUUUAAUUGUGCAUAAAUUAAUUUUAAGAAAACAUUACAUGUAUAUGAUCAAAUUAAAAAAUUAUCGUAUGAUAGGAAAUAAACUAAUAAUUUUUAAUUAUGCAUAAAUUAAUUUAAUAAAUGUUUACAUAUUAGGACCCCAUUAAGAAAUAUGCAGACAAACUCAAUUAUGCGUUUAUAACCUAUUUGAAAAUAAGAAAAAAAAAAACAAAUAAACAUAGAUAAUAUUUUUUAUUAAUUUAUUUAAACUAAUUAUAUUUUAGUGUGUAAAUAAUAUUCUCUAGUUUGUCAUAUUAUAACUUUAUGCUUAUCCAAUGCUUCAACUCCCAGCAACUUCCCAAGUUCAGAAUCCUUGUUUUCAGGGAUUCCUCCAAAGAGUUGUACAAAUAUUUAGUUUUUUAAAUUAACUAAAAGGAUCACUAAUAAAUUACUAAAAUAUAAUUUAUUUGAUAUUCUAAUUGAACAUUUAUAUAAUUAUAUGUUUUUAUUAUUAUUUAACUUCAAAUUAUGUAAAAUAUAAGUCUUUAAGUAUCGAAUUUUUAAUAAUACUAUACUCUUUUAUUUAAAUUAUUUCAAAAAUAUUUGGGUUAUCUCACAGACAUGAUAAAUAUUUAUUUAUUUUAUAUUAAAUAAACAAACCUUCUAGCUCUCCAACUUAUGUUUAUCAUUGAAAAUAACUUUAAAUCAAUUUAUACUUUUUUAAAAGAAUCGCAAUAAAGAAGCACAAAAUAAGAUGGAAUGAUUGGUUGAACUACGUAGGGUAGAAAGAACUUAAAAAUUAGGGGCCCCAAAACUAUAAUAAUGUCGACUACAAUAUUAUAUACUAAUUUACUUAUAAAAUAUAAUAAAUGAUUUUCUCAAUUUCAAGGUGCUUUAUAUACUUUUAGCAACUUGAUGACUGGGAUAAAUAUCUCUAAUAUAUUAUAAUGUUCUAAUAUAUCAUAAUGUCUCUUGAGGAUUGUUUGUGUAAACCUCUUCAUAAGUAUUAGUAGAAAAAAAAAAAAGAAAAGAACUUUUUUAAAAAUCUAAAAUCAAUAUGUGUACAAAUUAAAAAUUAACUUAUAGAGAAGUUAAUAUGAGAGACCUUAGAACUUUUAUAAAUUAAUCAUACAUAAACUAGUCUUAAAUUUUGUGUGAAUACUUUAUGAAAAAGAAACUUGGAUUAAUAUUUUAAAGGAAACUUGAGUUAUUAUUAUUAAGUUUUGAUGUGUUUCUAGAGUAGAUUUAUAGAUACACAUAUCAAUAAGAUAUUUUUUAUUUCAUAAAAAAAAUAACAUAAGUUUUAACUCAAAAUUUUAAAAUAAUAAUUUUAUUUUAUAAAUACUUUUUUAACAUAUUUAUUUAUUUUUAUUUCAUUUGAGAAUGUCCUUCGUACUUAAAUUUUCUUACAUUAUUUUGAUUGAAGUUUUUAACAUUUUUAAUAUAACAUUUAUAUUCUUUUCGUAUACAUUAUAAAAAUAAAAUAAUUAUAAAAAUGUAAAUUUAUAUGUAAAAAUAAUAAAAAAUAAAACAAAUAAUAUUAAAUGAAUAUAAAAAUGUGUCAAAUUAUCAUUUUUGAUAUUCUUUUUCAAGUUUAAUGAAAAAAUAAUGAUAAAAUAACAUAUAUUUAUAUUUAUUUAACACAUACUAUAAGAUAAAAUGAUAAUUAAAAAAAAGUAAUAUUAAAUGAAUAUAAAAAAAUAUGUGUAUUUAUAAAUAUCUUAUUUCAAGUUUUAUGAGAGAAUAUAAAUAAGAUAACAUAUUUAUAUUUAUUUGACAGACAUUAUAAAGUUAAAAUGAAUAUUUAUAAUUAAAGAAAAGUAAAAAAUAUGAAAAGAAAUAUAUUAAAUGAAUAUAAAAAAAUAUGUCUAUGUGAAAAUUUCUAUAUCAAAAUGCAGAAACCCAGUAAAAGAGACAUGAAUUGGACACUUUUCUUACACCUAAAGAGACUCAUAUAACUUACCUUUUCUCAUUCAUUUUGGCCUUUUAUGUUUGUCCAUGCUCUCUUCACCCUUUACUGUCAAUUCAUUACACAGCUUCAAUUCUGAUAAACUCUGAUUACAACCAUAUCUACUUUACAUAAUUAGAAACUAUUCUAAAUGCAUCUUUUGCAUAAUCAUAAUAAAAGUCAUUUACAUUAUUAGUAUACUUUAAUGAUAUUGCAUUCAUCAUCAGUACAUGGAGUUUCCUUCCAAUUAUAACAAUCUAUAUUUCAUCCCUUUUACCAAAAUGCCUCCAAACUGCAACAUAUACUCAAUGGUUGAAGGAGUUUGAACACACCAAAGAAAGAGGGAGUGUACCAAAGUUCUUAAACAUCAUAUAGCUUACAUUAAUUUAACACUUUUCUCAUUUUUACCUAUGAAAAAAGUACAUGUAAGUUGUCAUAGUUUUGAUAGAAGGAGUACUUGUACACUAAAGGUAUUGAAAAUCUUUUCCAUACACACCACAUAGAGAACAGUUUCUGUUGUCUGCCUUUAAAUAGAGCAAGUUUCUCCAAGCCCGCCAAGUUAGGAAUCAGAUAAUCCUUCCCUUUUGCUCUUUCUUUUCUUCUCUUUUCUCUCUCUUUCUUCUUCUUCUUAUAUCAUCUUUCUGUGAUCAAUGCCACAAUGUUGCUGAAACAUUCUCACCCUCUUGCCUUCACUUGCCAUGGAAAGUCACACUCAUAAGAGGGGUGAAGAAAUGGGUGUUGGUGGUGUUAAAAGGUUGCUUCUUGGAGCCUUGCUAUCUUUAGGAGUCAUCUGGUUUAUGUUUCUUGCUAUCUCAGUGAACCGUCCAACCAAAAGAACAGUGCUGCUUCCAAUGAAUGUUAUCUCCAAGCAUUUGAAGUUGGUCAGCAUGCAGAGACAUGGCUUGCAUUCAAAUCCUAGACUCUUCAUAGUGAGCAAGAGAAGAGUACCAAAUGGACCUGAUCCAAUACACAACAGGUACACACAUUUACCAUCUUUUGAAAUCCUUCAUGAUGAUGCUUUUUCUUUCAUGUAAUUUGCAUGGCUUACCACGUUAAAACAAAGAAAAGAAAUCAUGGGGUGCUAAGAGUUUUGGUAAAGCUGCUGGAUCAUAUUUACAGUGUGUCUGAUUUUCCAUUUUUCUCAAGAACCUUCAUGCCCUCUGAUUAGACUCAAUCAGUUGUUACUUUUUUGCAUUCAUCUUAGAGUUAUUUGGUGUUAAACUGAAGCAUGACAUGCAUGCUUAAUGCAUCUUCAAACACAUGCUUGAAAAAACAUGAAACAGCAUGUUUUACAGGUACAUUAGUUCAUGUCAAAUCAUGAAUUAGAACGAAGAAGCAGCAAACAGUUAGAUUGGAAACACAUUGCAUGAACAUGAGAUAGAAAGACAAAUCUUAAACGCCAUGAUUUUGUUUCAUCUAGAAUUUGGUUCUGUGGGUAAUCUGUAGCAGCCUGUUUUUCACAUGUUCAAAAGAGGUUAAAUCAAUAAUAUAGACAAUGUUGAAGUUAAUUUGAUUUGAUUGAAUUCAUUAGGCAUAGAUAGAUAGCCAUGGCACUUAGCUAAAGGGGGAGCUGAAGCAUGAUGGACUCAUACUUGAUAAUUUUCACUCUUUAUCAAAAGCUCCUUUAACUAACAAUCUUUCUCUUAUUUUCAUGAGAAACCAAAAAAGACAUCGGGUGAAGAACUGUGCCACUUUAGUUAUUGGGGGAAAAAAGAAAUCGGUGCCUCCUUUUCCUUUCUAUGGAAAGCUUGAUUAAUUUAUUGGAGGAUCAUGAACUACUUUUAACCUUAUUUGCAUUAAACAAUCCAAUUCAUGUCUUAUUUGAAAGUGGAGUUUUUCUUCCUAUUGAUGAUGUUGUUGUUAAUUGUUUUGAAAACCCAUUAUGAUGAUCAUCACACUGUUGCACUAUGCACUGCACAAUUCUGCCGUACCAUGGAAUUUCAUGUCAUUUCAUUUCUUUUCAUCUCUCAUAUUCUGAAUACCUUUGUGUAAUUACUGUGUGUGGAUGAAUUAUUAUUCAGGAGAGCAGUGAAAACCAGACAGCCACCUACACAAGCCUGAGCAUUGCAGUGUGAAGUUCCACAGCAAGUUUGAGGUCAAAUCAUAGAAGAAUUUUUGCUAUUCUCUUGUGGAAGAAGAAUUCAGAGUGUGUUCUAUAAGAUCAUGUUAUUACUUGUUACAUAGUAUGAUUGCAAGUGUUUUUGGAGGUUAUAAGUGUGAUCCUUAAUGUUUUCUACUUUUUUUUUCUUCUCUUUGAAAUGUACCCUUUUGAUGGUGUUGUAAAUCAAGGCCUUAGGAAAUGAAGUAACCAAAUUUUGGAUGCAAUCCAAUUAUGUCCUUAAAUUUAUAAAGUGAAAAAGAAAAGUGUGCAAGUUAUGACUAUAGGUGAAUUAGUGAAAUAGUGGAUGAUUUUCUCAUCAUUCAUAUCCUAAAAUUUACACGUGAGAACCUUGACAAAGACUACCCUUUUGAAUACUAUUUACUUUUUCCCCUUAUUUAUGAAAAAAAAAAAACCUUUUUCCCUACUCAAAUCUAAAGUGAGGGAGAGAGAUUUAUCUAGAUUUUUUUAUAUGUUGUAGGAGGAAAAAACAAGACAAAUCAUUCUAAUUUUUGGAUUAUUUGGAGCAUUACACAAGAAGAAAGGCCAAGUCUCCAUGCAUCAUAUUAUUAGGCUUUAAUUUUUGGGAAUUCCUUUUAUGGUGGCACCCUCUUUCAAGUGCCUUGUGUUCAACAAAGCACUUUCCUUAAUUUAAAGUUCAUACAUAUAAACAAUUCCUUUUCAUUUCCCUUUUUACCUUGAUCAAUGCAUCAAAAUAAACAUGCCUUCUCUUUGUCCUGCCAUGUGGACCAUAUAGUGAUGUUACUCAGUUAAUAUUUAAGAUCACAGAAAAAUAAAACAUAUAUAUAUAUAUAUAUAUAUAUAUAUAUAUAUAUAUAUAUAUAUAUAUNNNNNNNNNNNNNNNNNNNNNNNNNNNNNNNNNNNNNNNNNNNNNNNNNNNNNNNNNNNNAUAUAUAUAUAUAUAUAUAUAUAUAUAUAUAUAUAUAUAUAUAGGGCUCCAAAUAGACUCUAGAAUAGGCUCAAAUACAGGAAGGUUCCUACUGCAAUAUAUGUCUUGUGCCUUCAUACAGUACAAAUCCUUUUGCAAAUCCUAGAGAAAUGAUUUUUGAAGUGUUAUAGAUUAUAGAUUAAUGGAUUGAGGUAUGCAAGUAAAGGUAAAUGAGCAAAGGAGCAAUCCCUGGGUGGUGCUUUAUCUUUAUGUUUGCUUUUUCUUUCUGGUCUGAUUUUCUAUAGAUUCGAGAAGGAUGUGACUUGGUCCAAAGUAACUGAGAUUGAAAUUAUGAAUCUGUUUGAUUUUUGUUCCUCAAUUGCAUGGGAGACAGAUUCUCACCCCUGCCAGUUUUUGUUUCUCUUUUCUGAAUAUAUUGGCAGAUGCAAAACCAGAUCAGUCUGCUCAAUUCGAUCACAAUGUCCUACCAUCUCUUUCUUUACCAUUUAUCAAACACCUUGUGGAUGUCUAAGGAGGGUCCAUUUUCUCCCCUUGUCCCAAUUCUACUUAAUAUUUUCACUAUUUUAUCAUUUCACUUCCAUAGAAAAGAAAAUUAAAGCAUGUUUGAUAAAAAAAAAAAAAGUAUUGAAGAUCCUAGGUUGAUUAAAUAUAUAAUUAAAUUAUAAUAUAUAUAAAUUGGUGUAAAUAUUUUAUUUUAUGCAAUUAUUAGUUUUGGUGAAGUUGAUUUAAAUAAAGUUCUACCAUUUUAAUAAAAAUGAAAAAUAAGUUAUACUUUUUACACCUUCAUCUCAAUAUAUUGAGUUGAUAAUAAUAAAAAAUUAUGUAAUUAUGGAAAAUUAUGUUUGAUAGAAAAUUAUGGAAAAUCAUUAAAUAUAUGAUUAAAUUAUAAUAUAUAUAAGUUUGUCGAACUGUUAAUUUUGGUGAUGUGAAUUUAAGAAAAGUUCUAUCAUUUUAAUAAAAACAGAAAAAAAAAAAUGAGUUAUAUUUUUUAUGCCUUCAUCUAUAUUGAGUUGGUAAUAAUAAAAAAUAAAUAUGUUUUUUUGUCUUUAAAACUGCAAUACAAUUUUUAUUUCUAAUACUAAUCUUAAAUUAUAAUAAAAAAAAUUAACUUAUAUUUUAAAAUUUAAUAUUAAGUUUACAAGUUAUAAAAAUAUAUAUAUAAAUGAAAAAAAUAUACUAAAAUUUGGUGCAGCUCCUCUAAUCAACAUAGACUUAUGAUGUGAUUCAAAGAGUUUACCUUGAAAGCCAUGACAAUGUUUUUUUCUUUUUUGUUGGGAAUGAAUAAAAGAUUGGUGGUUGGUUUGCAUCCAAGGACUCAAGAGUAACAUGGCUGGGGAACACUUGGUCUCCAAUUAAGACACCUUUUCUUUUUCUUUUAUUUUUCUUUCCAAAUUCUAUCAUCUCAAAACCCUAAAAUAGAAAACCACUUAUUAAAUCAUUUCCAAAACUUCUCAAAUAUUAGUACACUGUGAUGGAAACUGAUCUGUUCCUACACAAACCUAAGUAUGUAGCAUACAGAAUAUUUAUAGACCCAACCAACAUAUUAUACUUUAUAAGAACUUUCAUCCUACACGCAAAACAAUCAAAAAACCUAAUAACACUAUCGAUUUAAUACCAUAUUUUACUACUAUUACCUCUUGUUCUUUUGAAAUUUUCAUCAUACGUUUUAUUUUCGUGUUUUUAUCAUUAAAAAAACUUUAUCUUUUUUUUUUGCAUAUUUUAAAAAGAAAUAUGAAUUUUAAAGUACUUACUUUAAAUUUAGAUAAAUUGACCAACCAUGUAAAAAACAAAUUAAAACAAAAUAACUUGGCUUUGUAACCAACUUUUGCAAAACAACAUCGUUGAUGUCCUGAAUUUUUGUUUAGUAACACGUUAUCACUUGCUAUAAAUGUAAUGAAUAGAUAAAGUAUGUAGAAAUUAAAACAAAUGAAAAUAAAUUACGCGAGGAUUAUAAAAUUCGCGAUUGUAAUUUCAUAAUAAGUUAAAUAAAAAAAUAAUAACACUAAAACAACUUGUUACCAGGUAAUAUUGCGAAACAACAUUGUAUAAUAUUUUAAUUUUAUAAAACUAUUUUACCAGACAUCAUCCCUUCUUUUGUCGUAAAUAAAAAUAUUUAAUAAAGUAUGUGAAAGUUAAAAAAAAAGUAAUAGUAAAAACGGAAAAUUCUUUGAUGAUAAAAUUCACAAAUAAUAAUUUAGUAUUUAAACACGUAUUUUUUUCUUAUAACUAAUUAUAAAAUCACAAUAAGAGUAGAAAAAAUGAAAACGAAUAUUUAUUAUCAUCCGAAAAUAUAAAGUUAUAUAUAUAUAUAUAUAUAUAUAUAUAUAUAUAUAUAUAUAUAUAUAUAUAUAUAUAUAUAUAUAUAUAUAUGUAUGUCUCCAAUAUCUUUAGCUAGGUAGGUAUAUAUGAAGCAGAAAUGAAGCUAUAGUUAUCAUUUUCUUAUCAUGGAGGUACCUAUGAAUAAUUUUAUAAACCCUAGUCUAGGGAAGCAUGCUCAUAUAGGUUAAAGAGAUAGAAAUAGAAAAACAAAGACUCAAAUAAUGUGUUAAUAAUUAGGAAGGCUUUUCAAGGCAUCAUUUUGUUGGUAGGUUUUCAUAUUUUAAUUAUUUUUAAUUAAAAUCUUUCAUAGUAUGUGGACUCUUGAGUCAUGAUGCUUAGCCACAAAAAAUAAAAUAAAAUUAUGUGAUUAAAAAGUUAAAAAGAAGAAUGAUUUAUUAGAUUCCCCUAAUGAUAACAAAUAGUUUUUGUUUAAGGAUGAUGUAUAUAUAUAAAUAUCCAAUUUGUUCUUGAUCAUUGUCUUCUGGGGAACAGUGGUAGAUUUAUAACAUAGGAAAUUGUGAAUGUGUGUGUUUGAUCCCAGAUUUCGUCAAUCGGUGAAUGUGCUGCAACAUAAUAUAUAUAUAUAUCAUGAAUCAUAUGUUAUUAUAUAUGAAUUCUUUAGUUUAUCUGAAAGUAGUUAUCCUUACCAUGUAUUGACAAGUUUAAUUUUUUUCAUUGAAAGUCGCAUAUUCUUCAGGUCUUGCUAAGCAAUAACUUAAAAUAUUGGUUAAAGAAUUGAAAAAAAAAUAUAAUUUGUUGUUAUUGAAGGUGAUAUGAAUAUGUAUUAGAAAUCAUAAAAAAAUUAUAGUAAAAUGUAAUAUGUUUAACAAUAAUUAUUGUUAAUUGAUAUUGAGAAUAAUAUUUGAAAUUUUGUAUAUUUGGAAAAAUGGAUAUUAUCUUUAGAGAAAGAAAAUGAGACAGAAAGAAUAAAUAAAAGAUAAAAUUUUGUAAAGAUCCAGCUGAGCUGUGUUUUUUGUUGAAGAAAGAAAAAAGAAAAAGAAAGGAAGAAACAGAAGCACAUGGGAACAGGGGAGCAUGUGGAGAAGAUUCAGAGCACUUUGAUGAAUUAAUUUUUGGGAGAAAGAGCAACAGGGAAUAACAUGGUCUCACCCUAUUCCAAAGGGGUUACCCCCAAACUUCCAAUAAAGGGCUGAAAUUGCAAAGGGACUUUGGUGGUGUAGGACAGCCUAGCUAUAGAGGUACACCUGGUGGGCCCCAUUCCCACUCAUGCCCAUUACCUACCCUCCCUUCCCUUCUUUCUUUUUCACCACCACACAACCUAAGCUACUACCACCUACCAACUUUUCUCUCAAUAUUACUAUUACCUUAACACAAUUCUCAUAUUCUACAACUAUUUUAUUCACUUCAUUCUUCUUCAAUAUUUUCUAACCAUAUGGAACAACACCUUUUUCAUUUAAGUGUAGUGAAAAAAAUAAUAUUAUUUUUCAAUUUCAUGAAGUUUGAUCUUGGUUUCUAGAUUUUGAACUUUUAUAAUUUUAAUUUUUUUUCUCAAUUUUACAUGCUUUUUAAUUUUAUAUUUUAACUAAAUGAAUGUGUUAAGUUUAAAGUUUAUUAAAUUUGAUAUAAGAAGAAAUAGAACAUUGUAAAUUAAAAAAAAUCAUAUUUUAAAAAUAUAUUAAAUAAACAAAUGUAAUUUUAUUUUAGCAUUUAUUGAAAUAGAUAUAAUAUAGAUGUGUUAUUGUAUACACUCAUUAAUAUUGUUUUGUUUGUUUAGUUGGCUUCCAUAUAUAAACUACAUUAAAUAUGUUUGAUGUGUGAGGUGAAUGAUUUGAAGAUAAUGUAUGUUCAGAUGAGUGGUUAGAAUUAUAUGUGUUAUAUAUUUUUUUUAGUGAAAUUUUGUUUUUUAAACUAAAAUUCUUUAAUGAACUAUCACUAAUAUCUAAUUGGUGAGUGAUGAUUACAGUUAAUGUUAUUCUUGUGAUGUACACUUAAUGUAUAGAGUGCACGGUUCAAACAACAACUUGAGGAUUGAACAAGAUAGAGUGAAACAAUCCUCUCUUGUUUGGAAUAAAUGUCACUCAAGCGAUGCAAUGUUGCUUAAGUGAUGAAGUAAUAAUGGUACAGGAGAUUUUGAAAUGGGAGAUAAUGAAAUUACAUGUCAAUGCUUAAGCAAUUAUAUGUUCAUUCAAGUGAUAAUGUUAAUGAUUAUGGAUCUAGUUGGAUGAUACAACGAAUAUCAUUCAAGUGUUGGAAUUAGACUUAAGCAAUAAUUACUAAGUGUUGGAAUGAGACUUAAGCAAUAAUUGCUUAAAUGUUGGAUGACUGUUUUAGUGAGCAAGAAGUAUACUUAUAUAUAUUCUUCCAUUUAGAGUUGUAUUGUUUUAAGUGAUAUGAGAUGCUUAAGCAACAUAAUUUUCCUUAGUUUAUGAGGACAAAGUCACUUAAGUGAGAAAGAGCUUCCUCAAUUGAUAUAUAUUGUAUGGUGAUGAUAAUAUUGAUGUUGAAUGUGUCAAUAUAUAUGUAAUUAUCUAUGUGAUUGAUGCCUUGGGAUGUAUGUGUGAAAUGAUUAUUUUGUAUAAUAUGCAUUGUGUUUUAAUUAUAUAUGAUAUUUAUGACAUGUCCCUUUAAGAGUGUCUUGUACUAUAUGUUUUUUGGAGAUGAAAUAUCGAACAAUAUUGUAAUUUCAAUGAUCAUAGUAUUAACAUAAAACUCCAAUAAACUUGUAGUUUCCUACCUCACACCACUUAGCAAUUGUUGCUUGGUUUAACAAUCUCCAUGUUUUUGAUCUUUUUAUGUGAGAGUUCCUUCUUUCUAUUUUAAGGCAAUUAGACAUAACUUUACUAUUUAUUUUUCUUUCUUUUAUGUUUACAUGUAAUCUUUACACUCUCAAUAAUACAUCUUACUAUUUUCUCCUUUAACCUAUUUACAACAUGCCGCCUCUUCUUCAUUUUUUCGCUUCUGCAUUUUUAGAGUGCUCUUAAUACACAAGGAGGACAACAUGGGGUUUGACAUGAUAUUGAAGCUCUUCUUUUGAAAGGCUUUGUUGUGUCACUCUCAUCUCUUGUUUUUUUUUCUUAUUAUUCUUUCUUUUUUUUUUCUUUUCCAUGGCAGAUGAACAACUUGUCUAGAGUUUUUUGUAUUUGUACCCAAAUGAAAGCCCAACUAUUACUCUUGUUUCUCCCUCUUUGGACGCAUCCAAUUAUCCCUUUUGGAUUUGUUCCAUCCUUACAAUAGUGAGCACUAAAACAAAGUGGAAUUUGUUCUUGGUACAACUCCUUAACCAACCAAGAAUGAUCCAAAGUUUUCCUAUGGUAUAAGUGCAACAACAUGGUUGUAUCAUGGAUGGUUUACUCAGUCUCUCCAUCUAUCUAACAAAGUAUAAUUCAGAUGGAUCAAGGUACUGAGCUAUAAAGUGACCUAAAGAAUCAUUUCUCCCAAGGAGAUUGUUCACACAUAUCAGAUCUUCAAAUGGAAGUAGUUACGUUAAAUCAGGGUGAUUUGUCGAUUUCAAACUAUUUUACUAAACUUUGAAUUAUAUGGAAUGAACUGGAAAAUUUCAGGCCUAACCUCUCAUGCACCUACGAGACAAAAUGUUCUUGCAACCUCUCUUUGUUUUUGCUCAAAGAAAGUGAAGGACCAAGUUAUGUAGUUUCUACAUGGUCUAGAUCAAUUUAACAACAUCAAAUCUCACAUGUUGCACCAUUAAAUUUUUUUCCUAUGUGCUUCAACAAGAGAGACAAUUUGUUAAUUAACACAUUGCGGCCAAAGUUCGUGGUAAUACACAUUUUUCUCCCACUAAUAAUAACACCUUUACUAGUAAUAUUAACUUUCUCAAUCAAGAAAAUAGAUCUUACAAAAGUCAAAAAUACAAGAAAAGUUUAUACAUAUUGUAAUAGAACAUGCCAUAUUGUUGAUGUUUGCUAUAAGAAACAUGGGCAUCCACCUAGCCAUAAGUUUUACAAUGGCAAGCAAACUCAUAUUCAUGUAUCUACAUAAGAUGACAAUCCUUCUACGAAAAAUAAAAAUGAAAGUAAAAGCAUUCGUCUCAUUCCACAACAAUAUCAAAUUCUUUUCAAAUAAACCAAGUUAGUUAUGCUUCUUCCCACCAAUCCACAAUUGAUAAUAUUAAUUCAGUCUUUCAAUGGAAAAAUUCUAGUCAUGCAUGGAUUAUUGAUUCAAGGACUACCAAUCGUAUCUGUGUGUCUUUGAAUGAUUUUUCCUCUUACAAAAAAAUAAAUAGAACCCAUUCAUAUUAGUAUUACUAAUGGAAAUGUUGUUUCAGUUUAAUACACUAUAACUAUUAUUUUUAAUCAAAAGUGUAAGCUUGUUAAUGAUUUUAUAAGUGCCGCAAUUCUCUUCUAAUCUUAUGUCUCUAAAAUUGUUUCUAUUGUGUUAUUUUUCUAUUUAGAUACUCUUAGCAUUAGAAAAGUAAAAGCAGACUAUGCUUUCUCCAUCAAUGGAUAAAAGACAUAUUCUAUCACAUUCCCUCACAACUCUAUACAUUCAUUCACAAUCCUCGUGUGUGAAAAAUUAUGAUAUCAUGAGUCAUCACUACUCAUCCCGUAGAACUAGCAAAUUCGUGAUCUAAAAAAAAAGAUACUCUCAUUUUGAUUUGAUCCCUCAAGAUACAUAUGUUUUGCCCUAUCUUAUAGCUCUACCUUUUAAUUAUUGGUAUAUAUAUAUAUAUAUAUAUAUCCAAGAAAUUAAAGUGGGGUAGAUCGUAACGUGAUCAAGACCAAUUAUAUCAACUAAACUUAUCUUUUUUGUUUUGAGGGUAUCUAAAUGUUAAUUAAUAUAUAAUGUUUUUAUUUGAAGUAUAUUAAUUGGGUUUCUUCAUAUCAUUAUCUUAACAUAAAUUAGUUAUCCAUUUAUAAUAGUUUUUCAAAUUUAUUUUCAUGGAUAUUCUCUUUCCAAAAUAACCACAUUUGAAAGCAUUAAUAUUAAACUUAAUAUAUCUUAGGAGAUUAAAUUCUUUUGCUAAAUCUGUCUCUAGUUGUUGUAACAAUUAUCAUAAAGAUAAAUUUCAAAUAAUUCAUUUGAUUAGUAUAGAAAUAUGCUUGAGAUUUUCUUUUAGUUUUAAUAUUUUUUUCUUAUUUCUUGUCUUGAAAUUUUCUGUUUUACAUCUCAUCUAUGGACUAUGUUGAUUUGCCAUGAUAACUUCUUCAUGGAUUGAAGAACAAGUAGUUAAAGAUUUCUAGAGAUGAAAUAUAAAAUAUUCUCCUUUUAAAAAAUCCAAAAAAUGUUUUUUUAUUGGAAACUAAAAAAGAAAAUCAAACACCACAUUAUGAUCUAUCGAUAGAACAUUUAUGAAACUUGAAUCGAACUACAUAAAAAAUUGAUAUUAUUAUUUAUUCAAAACGUUAGAACAAUAAAUUAGUGAUCUUUCAUCUUUGUAUAAUUCUCUAUUUUUUUAUUUUUAUUUAAUAUAAGUUUGUACUCACAUUUAACAUUUAGAUUCUCACAAUAUGUACACCUGAAAUCAUAUUUUAUAUUAUUCAAUGAAAGGAUUAUGAAUUUUUUAUUUUUAUUUUUACAAUCAAAUCUAUCUUUACCAUAUGUAUACUUAAGAAAAUAGCAGUACACGAUUGGAGUGAAAAUAUUCCAAAAUCUUAGUCUAUGUUUGAUUGAAAAUGGACAAAUAUAUCCAGCAGAUGCCAGACUCAUCACUUUAAUUAAUUUAAUUCCUAGUGCAAGUUCCAUCACUGAUGCGUAUAUACUUAUAUAUAAUAUUAAUUUCAUCAGAAAAAGAAAAAAAAAAUAGUACUUAUAAUAAAAUGACUGCUUGAUGAAGUGUGCAUUUUCAAAGUAUUUUCUAUUAUAGUUCUCUCCUUGGAUUCUGGAUUUUCACGUUGCAAAAUGCCAGGUUUCCUCGUCACACACAUGCAUGACCUAACCAGUUAAAUUGCCUUAAAAUCAAGUUGCUCUUUUUUUGGCAAGAUUCCAACUUAAUUCAAGUUGUCAAAUAUGUAAGUUGGCAUUUUCAUAAUAACAUUUUUUAACCUUUAAAAAUUAUUUAAUUAAUAUUUUCAUUAAUAAAAAAAAAGUGAUACAUGUGUAAAUAUCAUAUACUUAUUUUCAAUUAAGAUCAACCUUUUACUUUCAAAAUGAGAAUAAAAUAAUUAAAAUCAGUAGUGGACCUUCACGUUAACUGAGAUGAAUCUUGGAUGCCAAUUUUUUCUACAUAUAUAGAAAUUAGAAUAUUAUUUUUAAUUUUAAUAUAUUUCAUCUAUGUAUUUAUAAAUAAAAUUUUCACACCUUUAACGUAUUUUUCAAAGAUCCUGUUAAAACCAGCAGCUCUAUUCUUGUCUCUAAUGUAAACUUUUGGUGUCUUUUCUUUUUUUGGAACAAAAAAUGAUUUGUUUUUCCUUAAAUAUGUUUUAACAUUUAUAAAAUUAUGCAUUUUGAUUUUGGUCCAUAAUAUUGUUUUAUGUGUCUUUAUAAAAUAAAUAAAAAAUUACUUUUGAUCCUUGUAUAAAGAAUAACUUUAAUCCUUUCAAAAUUGAAAAUUAACAUUUUUUAUUCAUAAAUAAAUAACAUAUAAUUCUGAGAUUUAAAAAACUAUUUUGAAACUUUAAGAUUUCACCCUACAUUAUAUAUUGAUGCCAAUUAUUUUAGAUAUUUCAAUUUUUAAUUAAAUGCUAUUAAAUACAAAUAAAAUCUGUAACAUCCCAAUAAAUAUAAUCAAAGCUAUAAUUCAUUUUAGGAGUUAACAUGAACAAUAAAGGAGAACAGUAGUAGUGAAUAAGCAGAGAGGUGCAAGAGAUAGGAAAAUAUCAUUAAAAUUUAAAAAAUUGUACAACAGUUAGGUUAAAUACAGUAUCUAUAAAAUAGACCGAACGGUUUUACAAGAUUAGAACCGGACGGCUAGUUAGCUAAAAGAAACAAAAUAAACUAGUCUAAAGGCCGGAUGGGUCUACAUAGCUUUCAGGUACGGCCUCCACAGUUUGCUCAGCCUGCACAGCAUCCUCCAGAGUGUCUUCUAAAGUAGCUUCCAAUGUAUCCUCUGCUCACAUCCCAAAAGGAUGAUCAUUUGCAAUAAAGUGGAUAACCGAACGGUCGGAUACCGAACGACAACAUGAACCAAGGCGAAACAAACAAGGGUAAGCUUAUGUAAAUUUAAUUUAUCAUUUCAUCAUACAAGUAAACAUACAAUACAAUCCAACCAAUCAUGCAAACAUACAAUUUCUAUACAUGCAUGCUAUAAACCUCUAAUCAUGACCGACCACUAAGACACUGUCUGGACUGUAUGAACAUGUAGCUCGGUCGUCCCUAGCACCCGGUGUGGUGUAGUAACUGUCUUUACUUAUCAGCUGUCACCCGAGGUUAGUCCUACAACGAUCAUCCAACCUUAUGACCGCGGACCUCCUGCCAUUCCCACGCAUGAGUAACCUCUCUCUAUAUGAGAAAGCGUUCUCACGGAAUAUCAGGAUCAGGACGACACCUGAGUCAUUCCCACGUUCAUACUUUACCAAUCAUCACCAAUUCAUGGGACAUUCCUCUAGUGGAAUUCCCUUACUUAGCCAAAUUCAAUCAAGGUUCAUUAUUACUUCCAAACUGUAAGGAUGUUAAGAAAAGUACCAAAUACCAAAGACUGAAUUAUAAUUAAUAGUGACCGAACGGUUUAAUCGAAAUGGGAAACUGAGUAUCAGGAAUUCAAUAAAUGCCCGGACGAUCACAUCAAAGGUGAGACUGAAUAACAGAAGAAUGUCAAACGGAUUGGUCGGAUGGUCCGGCAAGGAGUAAGACCGUAACUCAAAGGAUUGACUAUAAGUGAUAGUCAUCCAGACGGUUUGACAAGAAGGUUAUAAAACAAGCACUAAUCCUGGUUGAAGGUUGGUCUAUGAUCGGACUCUUCUCAAAAGGACUUUAGUCAAACAAACCGGACGUUUCAAUAAACAAAAGCUCACUAGGCCAUUCAGUCACUAAGUGACCGAACGGUUUCAAAAGGAAGAAAUUAGAUUUUUUGCAAGUUUUAUAUUUUAAGUGUCAGGCUAAGGCCUAGCACUUGUAAGGCCGAACGCUUGGUUUAUGACCAGCGUUCUUAAGUAAUUAUCAACAAUUCAUUAAUUUAGAUCAACUGAAUUUAGAAACUCAAUAUGCCAGACAGUAAGGGAGGACCGAACGGUCCUAAUGACCUUCGAUCACAGAUUCAUAUUUUCUCUAAGUUUCAUAGAUUCAUGCCAAGUACAGAAUUAAAACUCAUACAUAUCAUACAAUUCAUACAGCAACAUACAAUAUCUCAAUCAUGCCAAAUAAAUCAACCAACAUACUUUAGACUUCAAACAUACAUUAAAUCAUGCAUACAUUCAACCAAGAAAUUAUAAUUAAACUUUAUAAGCUUCCCUUACCUCUAAUCCAGCUAGUACGUCUAAGUUCGGAUGGUGGCAAUCUAUCUCUUCUAAGGAUUUCCAAAGUCUAGAGUGAAAUACAAAAGUAGGUUUAGAGGAAUGGUUUCACAAGUACAUGCAAGCUUUAAAGGCACAUGCAUGCAAGAGAACAAAGAGGUUUCAAAGGUCAGAACACUUACCAGGUGUAACCCGAAACCGAACGGUUCUAAUGGAAGAGGAGACCACCAGAAGUCUUCAAGUGUGAUCUGAAUGGUGAUCGGAACAGUAGAUUGGUUAGAAUUUUAGAGAGAAGGCUGGGAGGUUUAGAGAGAAGGAGGAGAGUUUGAGAUUUCCAGAAAGUUUGAGUUUGAGGAAGAAGAAGAUUGCAUGGGAAAAGUGGCGUCAGGAUUUUCUUCUUAGCUUAAAUACGGCCUCCAUUCAGAAUGUUCGGCCCACUCCCAGCGUGCCACCUGACUUCCACUUUCUGGGGUUUCACUGCUCUGCUGCUACUACACAGAUCACGAAGGAAGGGAAUUAAAAACUUGGCAGAGUUGGUCUUCCACUCUAUUAGAGAAAACCGGACAGUUGACACGUGUACCCCACUAAAGAGGGGUAUUAAAUGGGGUGUGACAAAAUCUCACAUAAAAUAAAAGAAAAACACAAGUUUAUAUAAAUAUAAGAUAUUUUUAUUAAUAACAAACUUUUAUAAUAAUGUAAAAAACUUAGAAUUUGGCCUAGGAUAAUAUCUUAUUUAGUAUAAAGAUUUAAUUAUAUAUGUUGAACCUUUCUGUCUAAUUUUGAAACACUGUUUUUUUUUUAUUAAAAGUUAAAAUAAAAAUUAAUUAAUUUUAAUUUCUUUUUAUGACUUCCUGAAAUCAAAUUCCACAUAGCCCAAUAAUGGAUAUAUGUGAGGAAGGAAGAAGCUACGUCUAGAUCUCUCUAAAGAAACCAAUUUUUCUUCUCUUUAUUGGGAUUGUUUGUGCUUUUGAUGUAGACAGAUAUUAACUAAACUAGACUUGUAUCUCUCCAAUUUCUCAUUUCCAGUGAUUAAUAAAAAGCCAAAAUUUCCAAAUAAUAUAAUAAUGUAAAUAAAAUAAGUUAUUUUGUAUGGCCCCAGAGCUACGUUACUGAAUCAUUGAGUUUGAAUUAUUUUUCAAUUUCUUUUAUUUUAGUUAAGAAGUAGAUUUUAUAUUCAAUUUAGUUUUUUUAUUUAUAAAAUAAAGUUCACAUCUAUUUAUAUAAUUUAAAUAAUCAUCUAACAUAUAUUUUCAUUAGAUUCUUUUAAAAUUACAAAAUUAAUUAUAUUUGUAAUAUAUUUAAUAUAUAUUAUUUGUAUGUAUCAAUUUAAAAAUGAGUGUUAAAUAAUAAUCUUAUUUUUAUUUUCUUAUUUUCUUAUUAUUUUUUAUUUAUAUUUUAGGUAUAAUUUGUAUUUUUUUUAUAAAUAUAAUACUUUAUGUGUAUUUUUUUAUUAUAAAUACAAUAUAUUUUUAUAUAAGAAAAAUUAAUCUCAUAUAAUUAAUAUGGUAUAAAGUCAUUAUUAAAAUCUAUGUAUUGUUGGUUAAAUAUAUUAAUUUAUUCACAAUCACAGAUUACUUAUUUUUUAUGUUUAAUUUUAUAUUUAAGAUGUAUGAAAUGUUUUAAAAAUCUCACAUUUAUUAUAUAAAACUAAUUUAAAAUAUAUAAAUAAAUGUUGAUUUAUGAAAUUAAAAUUAAAUUUAAAAUCUAAUUUUUAUUUAUACAUACAACUUAGUUAAGAAGAGAGAGAUAUUUGUUAUAGACCAUUAAAAUAUUACGGAAAUGUGUGCUAUAGUUAGCAUAUCUAUGAAUCUUGCAUGUUGAAGGAUACAAAAUUCAGCAGCCAUGUGUAUAAAAAAUAUAUAUUUUUCAUCAUUAUUAUAAUUUGGACUAUAGCUUUGACAAAACCAUCUGUGUUACAGAUCACACACAUCUAUGAAUCUUCUGUUCAUCUUUAUCUUAAAUCAGUAGCUACACAGUAAGGUGUGUCUAUGUCAUAUAUAUAAAAUCAAUAAACAUACGUGUCAAUUUGUAUAAAUAUAAUAUUUCUAAAAUAUUUUUUAGAAAAGUAGUUUUAAUUAAUGUAACUAUGCUUACAAUUUGUGAAAAAAUUAACUCAAAUAAAGAAAAUACUUUAACAUGCAUUGUAUCACUUUAUUUUAAAUUUUACACAAUUAUAAAUACGUAUUUUAAUAGUAUACUAUUUGAGGAAUAAUUUUAUCAUUUAUAAGGAUCUUGCCUGUCUUGAAUUGAUAGGAUCGUCUUUUACGGAGGAUAAUUGUGACUUCAAUCGAAAAAAUAAUUGUGUAUAUUUUAAAUAUAAUAACAUAUUUUAUAAUAACACAUAAAUUAUUAAUAUUUUAGUACUUUAAAUUUGGUAUUAAUUUAAAAUUUUAUAGUUUAAUUGUAUCCGAACCAUGAUUGAAGCAUAUUUAUAUAAUUUUUGUUGUUUUUUUUCCUCAAAUUUAGUCUUCUUUUACUAUAUUUUCCUUAUAAAGCUUUACCCAUAAAAAUAAGUAGUGUUUUUUGAGAUAGAAAAUCAUUUGAAAGGUUCAAAGUUUGCUUACAUUUUAUUUUAUGUUAGCAUUUACAGAUUCUUAAUUUUCGAUAAUAUGAUGUUACAACAAGAUUUAUUUUAAACUAUAAAAAAACGUAUACAAUGUUAAUAUUGAGCUAAAUUUGAUAACUUUGAAAUUUAAUGUUAACAUUACGAAAAAAUAAAUAAAAGAACAAAUCCGUGAAAUAAAAAUUAAAGACUCACUUAUAAUUUAACCUUCAUUUCAUUUUCCUUUACAAUUUUUACUUUUUUUUUAGUUAUAAUUACUUAAAUUAACUAUAUGAAUAACUUUUCAUAUAAAUAUAAAGUAAUAAUAAUAUAUAAAGUUUAUUUAAAUUAAUGAUAAAAAUGAUAUGAAUGUGUACUGUUUAUGUAAAACUGUUACUGCAUAAAUGAUAUGAAUGUAGAGUUUGUAUGUGAGUGUAUAAAUAUAUAUUUAGAUAUAAAAAUGAAGGAAGAGAGAGAAGAUGGGUCCAUGAAAAGUCUAAUAUAUGAAUUUGAUGUAUACUAGCAUUUCAUAGUUUGCUUUUACACCUCUUAUUAUGAUGUUUUCUCUCUCUGCUGUCUGUCUCUCAGCCUAAAAAUCGCUGUCUUUCGGUCUGCAUACCUAUCAUCAUCACCAUCCCUCUUUCUGAAAACUCUGUCACCAUGAGAGUGAGAGCCAAACUCCUGUGAUCGCCACCACCCUCUUCAUCAAACCCUUCUACCAAACACAACAAGCUCAGCCAAACGCAUCAACAAAGAGACUUUCAUUCUGUCACCCUCCUAAAGCCUUGCAUGAAUGAAUCAUAAUACUACUCACAACAUCACAACACCAACAACAUCAACACCACAACACCCUGUUCUUCUACCAUGGCCUUCCCUCCCUCUCACACCUUCAUGUUCCAAACCCAUGAAGAUCAUGACCACCACCAACUCCACCUACGCUCCACCUCUUCCUCUCUCAACGCCUUCCCCUCUUUUCCACCCCAUCACUUUCAAGGUAAUCACACACUCACUCACUCAUCCCCCCUCUCUACACCUCUAAUUCCAUCUCAACUCUUGUACUUGUUGAUGUAUAUCAAGGUCAUACAAAACCGUUUGUACCUGCAGCGUCAAAGCUUUUCUGUUCUAUGUUAUUGUAUCAUGACUGUGAUUUCAGCCACAUCGACUGUUUUUAUCUGUAAUAUCAAGAAUAUUCUUGAUGAAACUGUGAUAGCUAACACAAUUUGAAACCUUUAUGUGUAUGCAUAAUUGCAGUUUGAUUGUGAUUCCUGAUAAAUGUAGCCCAUAGAACUACAGGCGCAGUUUCUUUGUGGUUAUGUAAGAUCUUAGAAACUUUGAAAUCAUGGCUUGGUUUUUAGAAUCUUGAUCUUCUUGGGUAUAUGAUUUUUUGAAAGAUUAUACGGGUCAUCUGAUAAAAGAUAAGUUUUUCUUUUUAGGUAAAGAAAGGCUGUGUUGUUGUUAUAUUGAGUAUGUUGGUGUUGAUUCUGUGUGGUGUUUAGGGGGUGGUGCAGGUGCAGGUUUCAUGAUGAAGCGAUCGAUGUCGUUUUCAGGCAUAGAGAACAAGUGCGAUGAAGUGCAUGGAGACGACGAGUUGUCAGAUGAUGGAUCUCAGCUAGGGGAGAAGAAGAAGAGGCUGAGUUUGGAGCAGGUGAAGGCACUUGAGAAGAGUUUUGAGUUGGGGAACAAGCUUGAGCCUGAGAGAAAAAUGCAGCUUGCCAAGGCUUUGGGGCUUCAACCGAGGCAAAUCGCUAUAUGGUUCCAGAAUAGGAGAGCAAGGUGGAAGACCAAGCAGCUUGAGAAGGAGUAUGAAGUUCUAAAGAAGCAGUUUGAAGCUGUGAAAGCUGAUAAUGACUCCCUCAAGGCUCAGAAUCAGAAGCUACAUGCAGAGGUAAUCAAUGGUAUCAUACGCAGCUUCUGUAUUUAUUCUUCAGUUUUCAACACAAAAAACUUAGACGCAGUUCUUUUAUCUUGCUCUCCCAUCAGAAUUGGAAUUUCAGUUCCAGUAAUCUGAAAAACAACUUACACUCAGAUUAAUCAGAUGAUAUUUCUUGCCGAGCUUCAAUUCUGAUUGAAAAAAUACUAUCGAAAUUACUUAAAGAACUGCAUCCAAGUUUUAUUAUUUUCGAUACCAUGUUUGUGACUAGUCAUUGACUAAGGUUACUUUGUGUGUCUUUGAGAAAUGUGAGCUUGAAGUUUUUGAGAUCUUGGGGGGUUAAUUUGGUAAUCUUUGAGUCCUGAUCUUGAUUCAGAAUAUGAUUAAACGACCGUGUAAUCUUAAUAGAGUUUGAAGUGAAUCCAAAAUCCAAUUGUCUGGUGUUGAAUUGUUAAAAUUGGAUUUUGUAAAGAAAGGAAUGGAGUUUUGUUCUUUGUCUGGUUUAUUCCAGCCACAGUUUUAUUUUCUAGAGUAUAUAUGAUUUAGCUAAAUUUUGUAAAGGUCCUCUUAGCCGUUUCAGUGCGCUUCCUUUUCCCUAAACAAUGGAUGAAAUUGAUCUUUUUUUCAUGUUUGAAAAAAGAAAGCUAGUCUUUUAUGCAUAGAUAUGUGUUUUAACUAUAAGAGGGUCUUUUGUUCUUUUUACUUUUGAGUUUUGGUUUUUCCCGUAAUUUAGUGAGAAAACUCCAUUUCACUGAUUGUGUUAUGAUGAUUAGGGACUAAUUUUAAAGAGAUUUUGGUUCCAUGAUUAACUUGUUUUUGUUGAUUGAGUUGAUCAUUCUCGGGAGGUGUCAGUGUGACAGUGUCAGAACUGAGAACUGCGAAUUAACAGUAAUGUUUGCUUUCCUUUUUCCAUUGAAAAACUCUGUGUUAUAACUGUUCCAUGUUGCUAGCUAUGAAAAAGACAAGGUUGCAUUUGAUCCUUCACAUGGAAUCAAAACCUGAGAUGAAACUAAGACAUGAACACACAGUUUUGGUUUUACACUUUUACUGUGUGGUGUUUGCAGCUACAAAGUCUGAAAAAUAGGGACUGCUGUGAAACCGGAACAGUAGUUAGCCACAAGAAAGACACUGAGGGUUCUUGGAGCAAUGGAAGCAACAACAGUUCAGAAAUCAACUUGGACCUCUCAAGAACACCAGUGAUGAACAGUCCUGUGUCUUCUCAGAAUGGAAAAAGCCUUCUACCAACUUCCCACAAGCCCACAACCAUGACUCAACUCCUCCAAAGCUCAUCAAGAUCAGAUCUCCAAGAUGAAAGCUUCUGCAACAUGUUCCACAACAUUGAUGAGCAGCAGAAUUUUUGGCCCUGGACCGAGCAGCAGCACCAGUUUCAUUAAUCAAAAAACUUGAUUUUGGAUAUUAUAAAUGAUUUGAAGUUGAAAGGUUGUGAGAAGUAAUUAAGUUCAUUAAUUAGGCUUAGCUCAACUUUUUUUCUUUCUCCCUACCAGUUUUUCGGUUUAUGCUUAUGAUGUAGAUUGGUGUAUAAAGAGUUUGAACACAUUUACUUGAGUCAUGAUCAAGAGAGGUGGUGAACUUUGAAUAGUAGAGCAUCUUUUUUCUCUUCCUCUCUCUCUAAACAUAAUUAUACUCAAAAUCAAAAUUUAAACAAAUUUAUGUAAUUUAAUGGAUUAAUGUAAGGAUUAAUAUACGCGCUUACAUAUUAUAAAAUCAACUUAUUAAUUAAAACGAAUAAAAUUAGUCUCUAUUUUAACAGGAUAAGAAGAACUUAUAUGUGACAUGAAAAACCAUUUAAUGUGUCUGUUUCUGAGAUAUCAGUAUGAUAAGAUAGAAAAUGAGAGAGAGAGAGACGUCUGUGAUCUGUUUAUACAUUUGAUUUCAAACACAAUUGUUUAUUAAUUAGAUCUAAAUCUGCUUGGUGUUUGCAGCUUCUUUCCUAUUACAUUAACUUUAGAGUUAUGCAGAAUAAAUAUAUUUUUUGCUAGGUUUAAACAAUAUACCAUAUAGUGUAUAUGGUCAAUAUAUAUAUAUAUAGAGAGAGAGAGAGAUGUACGUGGCCCUAAGUGGAUUUGCAGGUCUGGAAUGUAGAAUGGGGCCACAGAUGGAAAUAGGAUUCUCUGGUGGCAUUGUUUAAGCAGAUAGAUAGAUAAGUGUAUAUUUUAUUUGAUGUUGGUGCUUUGGAAUCAUGGGAUGGAAAAAUGCAUGGAAAAAGGUGUUUGGAGAAAGUUGAGCUAAUGAGAUAAAGGGCAUGGCUGACUUGAGGAGUGAGAAGAGAUGAAGUGGUGCAGAGAGUGAAGGAUGUCGUUUUAUGGGAUGAAAGAAAGAGCCAAAUCUAGCUGGGACUUUGCAAAGAGUAGUGGGGAUGGCCGAAGUAGGAUUCUGAACUUGCACACACUCCAACAACGGAGAAAACAAGAAAAUCUUCUAACUCUAAACUAAACUUACAACAAUUCCAUCAUCCACUAACCUUUCUCAUCUUUAUAAAAUCAAAUUACACCACAUCUUAAUUCUUCAAAUAAUUUAAAUAAUUGUAAUAAUUUCGUUUUUUUUAACAAAGAUAUUUGGUUGACGAAAGACUUGUUAGAAAUGGGUUUUAGGCUUAACUCAACUCCAUAAAAUCGACUUGUAAGGUGAGGUUUGCACCUCACUUAUAUAUUACAAUUUCGUCUUAUCUCUAGUUGUGGGACUUUCAACACACUCCUUCACGCCGAGGUAUAGACAUCUUGUGCGUGAUAGUAGAAAUUGGGUGGUCCAAUAACGGCUUGACAACGGAUGGAAACAGAAAUGCCCACUUAGAACUCGCUAGGAUAGACUCUAAUCAUAGCUCUGAUACCAUGUUAGAAGUGGGUUUUAUGCCUAACUCAACCUCACAAAACCGACUUGUAAGGUAAAGUUUGCACCUCACUUAUAUAUUACAAUUUCGCCUUAUCUCUAGUUGUGAGACUUCCAACAAGACUUUUAACACACUUCUUCACGUUAAGGUAUAUAUAUUUUGAAAAUAAGAGGUUUGAUAACAGUCCAAUAACGACAGUGGAUGAAACCAUAUUUACACCUACUUAUAUAUUCUAAAUUGAUUUUAUUUUUAAUCAAUCCAGGAUUUAUUAACGAAUUAUCUUAAAAUUUUGAAUAAAAAAUAAUGUGAAUCCUUUAUACGAUUAGAUUUAUUAGUUUUGUAUCCCAUGAUCAAUCUCUUUUUUCGUGUGAAAAAAUACACAAACAUUCACAAUUUCUAUUUUUCAUUCAUCUAUCUUCCAAAGUUGUUUAAAAGAUAUCACUGACUUUUUUUUAAGUUCCACUGGUUUUGUUAAAAAAAUGAGAAACGUGUAUAAUCGAUUUAAAAUAAUUGACAAAAAAAAUUAUUUUAAUAAUUUAUACUACAUAAAGAUUAGGAUUAUAAUUUGUUAUUGGAAGAUACCUUGCUUUAAGAAAAAUAGAUCUUUGCCGAUUUUAAUCUGACAAGCGAAACUACUUCAUUCUGAAUCCUAAAGAAGAUCCCAUGUGACCUACUGCCACAACCAAAAGCAAAAGCCUCUCAUCUCUUUCUCUCUCUCUCUCCUAACUCUGCAUCCUAAGUUUCUUAGUAGCUGUCUACAAAAAACACUUUAUCUUUGCUUUCUUAAAAAACAUGUACACUACUUAAUAAAAACAACUAUAACAUAGAUUGAAUAUUUAUCAUUAAACUAUAGAAAUUUUAAUUUAUAUUUAUAGAGUGUAUUCUUUUUACUAAUAAUUAAUAUAUCACCUCAAACUUCAUAUAAUUUAAUUAUCAUUUAACUUAUUUAGUACAUUUUAUGGUUUUGAUACUAUAAUAUAUGAUAAAAACAUUCAUAUUAAAAAUUAUUAGUUGAACAGAUAGGGUAUACUAUGCAACCUUUUUUGUUAUUGACUGAAUUAUUUUACUAUUUUGAUAAAUUGGUUUUAGAACUAGUUACUAUAAUACAUGCAAUAUUCUUUCCUUGGGCUAUAAUAGAAUGAAGUACUUAAUAAAGAAAAAAAAAAACGUAAUUUUGUUCUUCAUAAAUUAUCCUAUGUUUAAACUGUAGCUACAUUAUUAUUAUUAUUAUUAUUAUUAUAGCGUGAGGAAGUGGAAAGAAUUUUGUUGACAAUGAUAGGAUCGAUUGGUUUUAAAGUGAAAGAUGUAAUAUCCAAGAAAAUAUUUAUUAAUAUCUACCUUAAAAUAUUGAUACAAUAGCUUAACUAUUAUUUAUAUGUAUAUAGUUUAUCAAUAUUAUAGAAAAUAUAUCAAUAUCAUUAAAAGAAUAGAAUCUACUUUAUAAAUUUUAUUUAUAUAAUUUUCAUAUAUAUACAUUGUUUCUUUCGAUUCUUGUUCUUCCUCUUGAAAACUGAGGUAAGAUAGAUGUAAAGAAUUGUAAAUUAAGUAAUUUUGUUCUAAUAUUAAAAAUUAUUAGUGUUUUCUUUUUCAAAAUAUUAAGUUUACAAAUUGUUAAUUUUGUAAAUUAUUCUACCGAUAUAUUUGGUGAUGAACUAAUUUCAUGAAGCAUAAUCAUUGGUUGAAACAUAUGUUCAAAUGCUUUUCUUUAUCACAAGUAAAUUUGAAAUUAAAUUUUAAAUUUCAAUCCUGUUAAAAAUAAAAUGAAACACAAUAUGAUAAACAAAUGGCGUGCAAAAUAAAGUAAAAUAAAAAAAUUAGAGUAAAAUAAAAUAAAAUUUUAGAACUGAAUUAUUAUAUAAAUAGAAACAAAUUGGUGAGCUAUCAAAUGAAAAAUAUAUUUAUUUAAUUUUUCUUUAAUUUUAAUUAUUUGGACAAAAUUAAGUGUUGAAAAAUACCUUUUAAUAUUAGUUAAUUUCUACUUCAAUUAUUAAACAAACAAUAUACAAAAACUUAUAAAAUAUCUCAACUUUAACUUACAUAUUUCUUGAGUACUCUGUAAGUAUAAUUCAAUUUUUAACUUUUGAAAUCUUCCAAAAAAAAUAUGAACUAAUCUUUUCCUAUUUUCUAAACUCUCAUUAAAUGUGUUCCCACUGAAGAUUUAUAUGAGCCAAUAAGAAAUUAAAACUUAACUACUCAGAAGAAGGAUCUAAACUCAAUUUUCCUCUUUCUAACAAAGAAUUUGAAAACUUAGGAGUCUAGAUAAGUAAGAAAUGACCUUACAACUAAUCCCAAAUCCUUCAUUUUAACAUGACCUUCUACUAUAGAAUUUCACUAGUCAAAAUCCUUUAAAUGAACCAAAAGCCAUGCACAAUACAUCCUGUUUGCUACCAACUAGUUCUACAUCAUAUUUUUAUCGACUCAAAGCUAAACAAGUCUUAAAUUACCUCAAAACAGACCUUAAAGUUCAGUUUUCCCCACCAUUACUUCAAAAUCUCACCUCUCCAAACCUUCUAUUUAACACAAAACAGUUUGUUAGAGAUAUUAUAUUUAGUUUAUAUUGUGUUUAUGUUAAUUAGGGAAAUAUAGUCCCUAUAUGUUUAUUAGGGAAACAUUGUUCUUAUUUUAUUUUAUUUUAUUCUUACAUAUUCAUUUGUAUUUGGGCUUAGCCCAUAUUUCUUCUAUUAUAAAUAGAGAACCCUAUGUGUGUAUUUAACAGAAGGGAUUGAUUCCAAUAUAUAUUUUUCAUUAUAUUUAACAAGUGUUUUAGAUUAUUAAACAUGUUUAUGAAAUUCAUUUAUAUUAUUGAAUUAUUUUAAUAUUAAGAAGUUCGUUCUCAUUAUUUUAAAACACCUAUCAGUUUUAAUACUUUAUUUUCUAGGUUCUUACAUUUUUCACGUAUAUAUAAACUUGUAAGAUCCCAUUUAAACAAUAUUACUACUAUAAAGGAACAAUCACAUAGUCAAUAUUAUAGCACAGUUAACAACUAGGAGAAUAUAAAGUUCUAUACAAUAAUUUAAACAUAAAUAUAAUCAACUCUAAAUGCAAAUUUGCUAAGCUCAAAACCAUGUAUAAGAUUUGGUGUCUCUAAACAACUAAGGGAAAAGAUAACCACUAUAGGGAUAAAUACAAAAACUACUAAGCAUUUGGGUCAUCUCCAUCUAAGGUUUGCUCCACGGUCACAUCAACAUCCUCAUCUCACAUCCACCAGAUGAUUAUCGCCAAAGUGAAAUCAACACAUAAAGCAAACAACCAAGAAACAUACAGAAGAAGGGUAAGCUAAUGAUAAAACAAUUUAACAUGGUAAAAUAAAAUUCCAUCAUAUAUCACACUUCACACAUAGUAAAACAUCCAUCCUAAUUAUAUAAAAAAUUUAGACUUGGUCAAUCGGAUAUAGUAUAAAUGUCGAGCAAUGAUGGGUUCUACUUAUGUGGUGGAACAGCUGACAUAAGCAAAGCUAUCACACAAGGUUAGUCCGUUAAAACGCACUUGUGCAGCAAAAGGAAAAACAACAAGCCUCCCAAGCUAAGAAAGUUGACUUGCUUAGCCUCUACAACUCCCUAUCAAACACCCCAAAUACUCAUUCAGCGAGCUCAUUUGACUCGUCCAACGAGAGCCAAAACAGCAAGCUUUCGUAGCUGAGUGAGCUGGCUCGCCCAGCCUCUGGAACUCACUGCUAGAACUCCUCUAAACUUGCCUAGCGAGCCCAUUUGGCUCUGCCAACCCUAUUUCAUAAUCCUACAACAUCAAAAUUGUAGAAUUAGCACUCCUAAACUACUCAUGACAUAUUCUAACAACUUUUACCAACUUCUAGAACUUCAAGAUUGAAUCCUAAACUAUUAUAUACAUAAACCAAUGUUUAUAACCCAACUCAAACAAUUUUUUAACAUGAUUUACAACAAGAUUCCAACUUAAAGCACUCAAACACCACUUUUAAAGACCACAAUUCAAAUAUAACCAUUUUAGCUCAUAACCAAGUCACUUAGGGGUCUGAGCAGAUCAUAAUUGACUCAAAGGCAGACCCCAAACACUUCAAGUCCCUUUAGACCUUUCAAUUCAAAAUAUCACCAUCCAACACCUCUAAAAUGCACCAAAAUUCAUUUCCAAAAACCACUUACUGUAUACUACACACUUCCAUACCAAUUCUUUACUAAUUCACCCCACAAUUAAAUUUAAAAUAGUCACACAAUAGCUAUUAACCUGCCAUAUCUCCAUCUAGACCAUUAUUUCUCUAACUCACUCCCCAUUAUUAUACCAAAACCGACCUAGAACCAAACUUAAUCAUUCUUUUCCAAAAAUUCAAACAAGUAACAUCACUAGUUUCACAACCACAAGAAAUUCAACAUUAGGGUCACUUCCAAACAUAUUCAUCACAUUUCAAAACACUCAACCUGAUUCAUACAGCCAAAUUUAUUCAAUCAAACAUGCAUACUACAACUAAGCACUUAAUUCAAGCAUCAAAAUUAACAUACAUUCAACUCACAUAAUAUUAACUACCAAACCUACUUUGUAACUCAAAUUAAAAGAAACACUAGCUUCCCUUACUUAAAAAAAACUAUCACAACUUUAAGAAUGCACCAUAGUUGCUUAAAUCAAAAGGAACUCUAGGAAUGUCUACAAAUCACCAAAAAGUGAUCAGAGAGAAUCCUUAGGACCUCGAUUGACAAGAAACUAGGAUGAGAUAUCAGAAAACACAUGCAAUAAAGAAUCAACAUGAACUAUCUCAACUUAAGAAUGAAAGGAAAAAGAAUUAAAACUUACUUGCCCUAUACUAGAAACUGAUUGGGUAUGAAUAGAUAUUACUCACCUGUGAUUUCUUAGAAACUUUCUGAUCGUCAACCAGAGGUUUGAGGAGUCAGAUAUCUUAGAAAGAAGGUAGAGAAACUCAAGAAACGAGUUUUAGAGAGAUAAUUUAUAUUUUAAGCAAUGAGACUGAGUUUAAAAAAUUCUAUUUAUAUUAUUAAAUUAUUUUAAAACUAAAAAUGCUUGAUUUCAUUAUUUUAAAACACUUAUCACUCAAAGUUCUAAGUUCUUAUAAAACUAAUUUUAAAUUAUAGAAAAAGUAAAAAUAAAUUAUCUUCUUGUUUCUUUUUCUUGUAAAAGCUCAUGUAAAAAAAUUGUCUAGAAAAACUACUAUUAGUUUACACAUAAAUUAAUAUAUUUAAAUUAUUUUGUAUUUACGAGUCAAUAUUUAGAUUCAUGGGUAAGUUUAAUUUUAGAUCAUGGUAGAAGAUAUGUAACUACACUGCCACUAUCAUUUGUUAUUGUCACAUUAUAUUAUUAUUGUCAUAAAAUAAUUAAACCUUUAUUUUAUUUUUUUAUUUUCCUUUUCUUUUUUCUCCAAUUACUUCCUUAAUCUGUUGAACAGUUUCAUCAAAUACUUUUAAUUUAACCAAUCAGUUAUAAUUUUUGCACUCUUAAAUUUUUAGUAAGACGGUGAUAUUUUAACAAUUUUUUUAACAAUUUUUUAAUAAUAGAAUAUGUGUUAUCAUGUUAUUAUUCUGUUUAAUUUUAUAUUUAAAAAAGUAUUUACAAAUAUGUUGUCAAAAAAUUUUAUCAAAAGAUAGUUGUUAGAUAGACUUUUACCUUCCUACUAAUUCAUAUAUGGUUUAUAAAGUUUCAUAGUCAACAGGUUAAGCGACAGAGAAACAGAGCAGAGUUAUCCUUGAAAAACUAAAAGGAAGAGUUGAUAGUCAAUUGGUGUAACUGUUACAAAGCAUGUGAAUAAGAAAUGUACAGAAAUCCAGCAUUACAAGGUUGCAGCAACGUAUUUAAGAGAUUGGGGCCAUCUGAACUGACAGAAACUGAUAGUGAAACCAUUCCAUGACAGCAUAUACAACAAUGAGCAUUAAUGGUUGCGUAUCUGAUGCAUCCAUUCACCAACACAUGUGCCCAUUGCAAUGCAUGCAUGUGUGCCUUUGUCAUGCAAUAAACAUUCAACAGACAAGGUACGAGUUAUUAGUGUAUUGUCUUCCUUAAUUUCGAUGAGUGUUAUAGCAGAACUUGCAUUUCGAGGAAAAACCAAAACAUGUUGCUCACCAUUUCUUGUUUCCCACACAUCACAUUUAUUAAGGUGAAGUGGGAAUCAUGUGUUUUGAUAGUUACGUACAGCCUUUCUUAUCUAUACUCUGCUCCAGAUCUCACACCAUCAAACAAGUUUAUUGCAUAUAAAUCAAUAUAAACUUAUGGUAUUGAUUAGUUUUUGUGAAAUUGAUUUUAACUUUAAUGUUUAUUUUUUCACAUUAUAAAAAAUAGUUUAUAAUUUUUUACUCAAGUUUAAGUCUUUUUACAUAAUUUUUACUUAUUAUAUUCCAAACAUAAAUUUGAGAUUCAAAUACAAAAUAAUAUUAAAAAUAUUUUCUUAUAACUUUAAUAUUAUAUUUAACUAAAGAUUUCCCAUUAAUUAGAAAUAAAACAAAAUUAUAAUACGCACAUAAAUGAAAAAUUUAUUUUAUAAUUUAGUUAUGUAAAAUUAAGUUAAGUUUCAAUUAUAUAUCUUAAUUUAAUGAUAGAAUUACUUAAUGAUAAAAUUACUGAAAACUUAUUCUAAAGAAAUUUGUUAUAUAGGUAUGAAUGAAUAUGGUUUUGAUAAAUAAUUAAAUAAUUCUAGCAGAUUUUUUUUUUUAAUUUGUGUGAAAUAAGUUAUUACUUUUAACUUACAUGAGUAAGAUGAUAUUUUAUAAUAAUUAAUUGAUACUUAUACAGAAGUUACAGUAACAGCCAAAUAUAUUUUAAGAAUAGGUAAUACUGUAAGGUGAUUGAUUUACAAUAACUAUAUUAAACUACUUUUUUUAGUUAUAACAUUUUAUCAUUUAAAUUUAGAUGUCUUAAAAAUUUAUAGUAAACUUGAAGUCUACUUUAAAACGUAGAGAAAGUUACUUUAUGUAUAUUAAUUAUUUAAACUUAAUUAGGUUUAAGAUUGUGAUUUUCAUCUUUUCUAAGCAAUGUGCUUCAUGCUUUUAUGGAUAUACUAGUGGCAACUGUUAUAUAUAAAACCAAAGUUUUAAGUUAAAGAGCUUAUAUUAACGUGACAAGUGUUAACAGUAUCAUGGAAGAUAUUCCAAAAAUAAAGUGUAAUUGCUUUCUUACUGAUUGAAGAUUAAAGCAUGCAUGAUUAAGAGAUCGGUCAACUCCAUUAUAUAUAAUUAAUUGUUUCAUUAUCAUUAAUUAUUUGUGAGAUCUGGUGUUUCUUGCCCAACAUCACACUCCACUCUUGUUCCAAAAAGCAUGUUUGGCAUUACUAAUACCAACCAUUAAUUAAAAUUGUUUUUUACAAAAUAAUUUCUAAUUUUCUUAAGAUAAAUCUAAUAAGAAUAUAUAAUUUGGAAAUCUCGUAUCGACUAGAAAUAAUACAUAUUUACAAUAUAUAAGUAGAUGUAAUUUUUAUUUUACAGACUGAUUUUAUAAGAUUGAAUUAUAAGUUUAAAGUUUAUUUAUUGAUAUGAUAUUAAUAUCAUUUAAAGUUUAUUACAAAAAAAAUUUAUUAUUUAUUAGAUCUAUUGUAUUAUUGGCUACCAAAUCAUUAUCAGAUUAUCUAUAUAAUUAAAAAUAAAUCUCAUCUCAUAAAAUAAAUUUUGUAAAAUUAAAUUAUACUUAAAAUAUAUAUAUUUGAAAAUAAUAUUUUAUAACUGCAUGAUGUGAUAUAAAAUUUUUAUCAAAUUUGUUAAUAAUUAAUUAUCAUUAAAGAGUCUAAUUAAUAAUUUUUUUCUAAAUAGCAUUUUUCUAUUUAUAAUAUUAAAAAUUGAAACUCAAACCAAAAUUUUCAAAAUGUUAUCUAGAUUGUGUGAACUUAUAAUCAAAUUGUAAUAAAAAAUCUCAAAAACAUCUUUCCAAAUCAAUGUCAUAUCUAUGAUAUUUAUGAUUUGCCACCGACAAUUUUAAUUUUAAUUUAGUUUUAACAUCCCUUAAGAAAGUAGUUUUAAAGUAUACUCAAAUUUCAUCAAACCCUAUAUGGUUGCUACGAAAUGUCUAUAUAUAAGGUUAAAAAUAGAAACUAUAUGCUAUGAAAUGUACCUGAGAAUAUAACUUUAUAUAAGUUUAAAAAUGUAAAAAGAAAAAAAAAUGCAAAAUAUGUUAUAACAAGAGAUAGUAAAAUUGAUGAGUGCAUGGUUAAAAUAACAUCGUACAUUGUUCAUGCUUAAAAUUUGUGAAACAUUGAGAAAUAGUGAGAAAUAGUACACAUUAAAAAUAGAAAAGGAAACUUUCUUUUCUUUUUCAUAUUGGAAAAAAAGUAGAAUGCAUCUUUUGACCUUACUUUCUAGGGAUGGUGACUGAACUUCAAUUUUAAGUGGAACCACCUUUUUUCUUAUGGAGAGUAGAGCAUAGCUAAAACAAUAAUCAUUAAUAUUUUUACAUAACUUCGUAUAUUUAUAUAUUAUCUCAUUUUUGCUUUUUCUUUUCUUGUGCUUGUAUAUCUCAACUAUCAAACUAAGGGAUAAAGUAUAAUAUGCAAAGCUGUCUCAAAUAAAUAAAUAUUAUGUCAUAUAUAUAUAUAGAGAGAGAAAUAAGAAGAAAUUAAAUUAAAUUCAUUUAAGUUCCAUAUUAUUCGGUUGAAUCAUAUGAUUUUUUAAAUUAGCUAUUCAACCGAAAGUUCUAAUCAUAUAUAUUAUAUAUAAUUUAUGUUAAAUUUUGAAUUUGAUAUGUUUUUUUUAUGUAAAUAAAAUUUAAUGUACCACAUUUUUUCAAAUUUAAGUAAAAUAUAUGUAUUAUUUGAUAUUUUUUUAUUAUUUUUUAACCAGUUAAAUAUGUUUUUGAUAUUUUAAUUUAAAUGAAAAUUAGAAAUAUAUAGAAAUAUAUAGAUUUUAUCAUUUUAAAACUUUGACUUAAUUUAGUUACUCAACUUUAGAAAUAUGUAGAUUUUAUCAUUUUAACUAAAUUUAUUGACCUUUCACACACAUUUUAGAGUAACAUUUGAAUUAUUUACAUGAUUUAACACAUUUAUUCUUUAAUUUUAACUAAAAAAUGUGUUUGGAACUUCAAAUAAAUUUAACAAAAUUUUGUUAAAAGAAAUAAAUUCACGAUAUUUUAAAAUGAAAGACUAAAUUAAUCUAAUUUUUUAAAAAAAUUCAUUACAAUUUUCACCGAAAAUUUAGAAAUAAAAAAAAUAUUUAACUCUUGUUUGUAUUUAAAAACAAAGACACAAAUAAUUGUGAUAAUAUAAAAUUAUUUAAUAAUUAAUUGACAAAACUUCAUUUUUAACUAUAUAUAUAUAUAUAUAUAUAUAUAUAUAUAUAUAUAUAUAUAUAUAUAUAUAAAAUCAAAUUUUCUCAUGAACAAACUCUUAUAGUUGGUCAACAUAAUCUUUCGAACUUUCUGAUGAUGAGUAAAAUUAUUUGUUAAACUAAGAAAUCAUAAAAUUAAGGAAUGUCCACCUGUGAAUGGGACUUAAAUAAUCAAGUUAGCAAAAAAUGUACAAUAGAAUACAAAUUAAAGUUAGUUUUUUUUUCUUCGAAUGUUAUUAUAUAAGAUUAUAUAGAAUUAUGUUCUAGUUGGUUAUAAAUUAAUUACUAUUCUUAUAUAAUAGUCAUUUUUUCGAGAAACAAAAAAUCAUUCCUUUUUUAUUUGUCAUUUUUAAACUUUCUAGAUAGCAAUUUUUCUUUUUUCAUUAUAUUUUUGUUGUCAAUUUUCUCAUGGAUUGAAAAAUAUUUUUUUAAUUAUAUUAUUAUUGUCACUUCUAGUUUGUUGAAAAUUGUUUGGAAAAAAAUAGAAAAGAUUAUUGGGAUUUUGCACGUGUGGCAGUAGAUAAGGGGUUGAAAUUUUUUUAGUGAAAUAAAAUGACUUAAAGUCUUCCUUUUUGUCUGAAGAACCACUACAUUUUCUUUCCACGUUUUCUUCUUUCUUAUUCUGCAUUCUCUCCACCUUAUUCCAAAAAUCUAAUCAAUAGUUUGUUGAUCAGAAGCUGUCUAGGCGAUCUGGGCUUCAAGAACACCAAUUCCAACCGAUCAGUUCUUCCGCUCUUCAACUGGUAAGUUGAAACCCCUUUUUCCACUCACUUUAGCGUUGUGAUCAUGCAACAAAUUUGGUUGCAUGUAUCCCAUUGCACGUUCCUUCAAUUUCUAGCUUCUACUAGGUUCUAAAAUCCGUAUUCUAUCAUCAAAUGGUGAUCCACAGGUGAUUCUAGCAUUUCUGGAAGUGCAAACGUGUGUGGGGGGGGGGGUCUUCUUGAGCUUGACUGUUUGAAUUAGAGGUAAAGGAAGCUGGGCCUUUUCUAUUUUCAAUGAAUUAUAUUGUGCAUGAGUUAAAAAGUUAGCUUAGAACCAUUAAAUAAUGUCUAGGAGAAAUCUGUUUCGUGUAUUGCAGUUGUUUGCUUGUAGAUUGGGGGUUUUGGUGGGAAGAAAGGUUGUUUGCUUUGUUAAAAAUGAAAUAUGAACUUGAUUGAUGUUUAUGAAGUGUAAAUUGAAUGUGUUUGAAGCAUUGUAAAUGACUUUGGAUAUGUGAAAUCUGUUUUAGAGGAAAAUUUGUUAGUUUAAUUGAGUUAAUAUUGGUCUUAAGGGUAAUUGAGAGGAAGAGAGGUAGUGUUUUUGAAAUCUAGUUGUUAGAGGUCGAUUUAGGCUAUUAGGGCAACUUGGCCAAGUGCAAUGUGACUUGUUAGAAGAGUCAAAAUGGUUGAAAAUGGUUUCAAAAUGGUAAAUUUAGAAAUUUGUCUAUAGGUUGAUGAAAUUGAAGUUUUAGAGUGAAAAUCAAUGCAUAAUCACUAAAUAUUGAAGUUAUAAAGUAUUAAAAGCAAUUAGACAAGUUUAAUUUAUCAUAUAGAUCAAGUUAGGAGUGCUAGAAGUUCAUCAAAAUGGUUAGAAUUGGUAUGGAAGGGUAGAGUUGCUUAAUUAUGCAGGUUUUAGAGUGCUGUAGAUUUUGCAGAGUCGCAUAGCGCACCCUGUGCGCUAUGCAAAUUUUUGUUGUCAUGCUGUUAGGAAAAUUCGCUUAGCACACCACGGGAGGUGUGCUAUGCGAAUUUUUGUUGUCAUGCCCAUCAGGAAAAUUUGCUCAGCGCACCAAAGGUGAUACGUUGUGCGAAUUUUUGUUGUUUUACCUUUUUACCCUGUUUGUUGAGUGACUUGCUUCGCUCUGGUUCACUCUUUUCUUUUUCUUUCUUGAUUGGUUGAAGAUGUAUGAUACAUGUAUGGUUUGAUAUAGUAUUCAAUGCAAUUAUAAAUAGAGAAAUGGUAUGUUGAUAUUUAAAAGGAUAGAUAUUGUGUUGAAAGUAAUGAGAUUAAGUAUGAAAGUAAGAUCUCUAGGUGAUAUCCUUUUAGUGUUUAGAAUGAAUAUAUGAGGCUUCUUCAUGGGGGGUUAUCCUAACACUCUAAUGGUCUUUCAUUCUCACUUAGAGAUGAUUGACACAUGUGGUGAGAGUAGUAGGAUGUCCUAGUGUAGGUGCUACUUGGAGGCCUAUUGCGUGGUAACAGAUUAACCUUGUGUGUGGUAGGGUGAAACCCAUUGACAAUGACUUUGCAAAACAUAGAGACCACCACAAGUGCAUAACCCACCCCAGAUUGAUAUUCAUUAUAAGUCCGGACGAGUCUAGAGAGUUAUAACAUGAUAAGAUAUUUUGUUUGAUUACUUGUAUGAAUAUGGUUUCUAAUUUAUGUUAUAUGAUAACUUGCAUGUUUUUGAAACCUAGCUUAUCCUUACUCUUGCUGUGUUGCAUGUUCUAUAUUUUUUUCCUUUGCAAUGAUCGUCCACUUGGAUGUGAACAGAGGGAGAUGAGGUUUCUCUGAAGCAGGCUCUGGAUGGGGAUGAUGUUGCCCCUAGCUCUUAGGACUCUUCUUAAUUCUUUACUUUAUUUUGAAAGACUCUUGUACUUGUUAAAGUUUUAAAUUUUAGCUAUAUUUUGGAUGAUUGUACACUCUGAUACUGUCAUAUGUCAACUCCUAACUAUUUUUCUCUUAUUAUAAUUGAUGCAUUCUACAUAUAUACUCUACUAUUUAUUUGGGAUGUCACAAUAAUAAAUAUACCAAAUAUCUUGUGUACAAAAUAGUUACACUAUAUAAAAUUACCGCAUCUCAUGCUACAAAUAAAUAAAUAAAAUAUGGUGAAAAAGAGAGGAAGGAAGUAAAACUUUUUAUAGAAAAUAUGAUAUAAAUCUUAUUCCAUAAUCUUGUUCUAGAAAUCAUCUUUCAGAAGGCAUCUCAUAUAUUGCGGAAAAAUUGUCCAGAUGGGCUUUGUUAUUUCUCACAGGUCUUUUUGUUAAAUUCACACUCCAUCAUUAUUUUAUGCAAAAAGUAUCCUCAUUAAUUUUGUUGUGUAUAUAAACAAGAUCUCUCAACAUAUAUAAUACAAAUAAGGUGUAAAUAUUUAAAAAUAAUUGAAACUAUAGAUACUAUUUCUCUAAUUAAAAAUAAAUCAAGAAAUAAAAGCGGAAGUAAACUUCUUAUUAGCUUACAUAUAAAAGUGUCGAGGAAGAGAGAUGAUAGCUCAAGAAGUUGUGAAUAAGAAAUGUGUAUAAUUCUUCAGUUUUCAAAGGGUUAUUAUCCUAGGUUCUAUUGCUAUCAUGCUCACUAUAGUUUAACCUUUUUCUUGGGUUUAUAUAUUGAAGGGUUUGAAAAUGCUACAAUAUUUCGAUAUAUUACUCAGCUAAUUAUUUAUUACUGAAAACAUCUAAUUUAAUGGAAUAAAGUCAAAUGUUUUAAAAGUGUAACUUAAUAUAAUUGAAAACUGUAAAAAAAAAGAAGAAAAAUGUGAAAGAUUUCAAAUGUUCCUUACUCUAAUUACUUUCACAAGAUUUUGUAAUUAUAUGUGUUUUUUUUUUUAUAUAUAUAUAUAUAUAUAUAUAUAUAUAUAUAUAUAUAUAUAUAUAGAAUGUGAGGUAGUAUUAUUUUUGUGGAUGAAUUGAGUAUUCAUGGGGUGCAGGAAGCAAUUGCCUUAAUUUUAAGUUAGGUUCUUGAAUUACAGGCUCCGAGAAUUGGACCUGUCGGCCUCGUCUUUUUGGGCUGCUGAGUCAAUUUGGGGUGUUGCUCCCUCCACCCCCACACCCUCCUGCACCUCCCCAAUUUUAAUUUUUUUUUCUAAAAAUGCCCUUAAGUUAAAAUUUUUUUACUCUUACCCUUAACCUUUUAUACUUUUAAUUAAAACUCCUAAUUCUUUAUCCUCCCUCCACCGCAUAGCACACCCACCCCCUCACCUCUUCUCCUUCUCUUUCCCAUUUCCGUCACCCAUUUUCACACCCACCCAUUUUCUCUUCUCCUUUUCUUUCCCAUUUCCGUCACCUACCCACUCCUUAUUCUCCUUCUCUUUCCCAUUUCCUGUCACCUUGGACAAGGUAUCUGCACAAGCCGCUUGAAGCUGAACCAACUUCUUUGUCAAAACCGGAAUACCAACAAUGGACUUGUCAAUGUUGGACAAAAGCUUGUGCGUCUUGAACAGUCUGGCUUCUUCUUCACAAGCUUUUUCGUAGGACUCAUCUCCGAUGCGAUUUCUUACACACACAUAGCCAAGACCGCUGUUCACAUCAUCAAUGUUUACCUUCUCACACAGUCCCUCUGGGAACAUAUCAACUUUGUGACAACAACAAAAGUCUUCGCUCCCGUUUUGUUAACACUCUGUAACAUCCUAAUGGCCUCACAAGUUGAGAAAUCAACUGCGGCAGAUAAAUCUAAAGUUAAACUUUCACGAGUUUGAGUGGCUAAAGAUCUCCUAUCCUUCAUUAAAGAUGGGUCUUUUUUGUUUUGAUGACAAAUCUCACUUCUCUUUUCAACUUCACUGCCAUUAUUCUAUGUGAUGCUAUGUGUACUAAAUUUUAAUGAAUAAACUUUUAUCUAUAACAACCAAAUGAAUCGUCCACAUUUCGGAAAGAAAAAGAGAAGAAGGAAUGGGUGGGUGUGAAAAUGGGUGACGAAAAUGGGAAAGAGAAGAAGAGGUGAGGGGGUGGGUGUGCUAUGUGGUGGAGGGAGGGUAAAGAAUUAAGGGUUUUAAUUAAAAGUAUAAAAAGUUAAGGGUAAAAGUAAAAAAAUUUUAACUUAAGGGUAUUUUUAGAAAAAUAAAAAUAAAAACUGGGGAGGUGCAGGAGGGUGUGGGGGUGGAGGGAGCAACCUUCGUCAAUUUGAGCUUUGCUAAACAAAGACCCAAAGAAAUUGAGCGCUGUUUGGUCUACUAUUUAACUUCACCUAUUUGCCAAAAUCAUUUUCCUUUCCAUCCUUUUGCAGAUAAAUUUUACUAAUUAACUUUAGUUUUCCCACUUUGACAUAAUCAUGAUUAAACACUAAUCUUUUCUACUCUCUAUUGUGUUUGUUUCCUUAUAUUUCUUCAUAGCUAGGAGAGUGCCUUGUAAUGAAGAAAUCCAAAGCAAAAUAGAUGCUCUCUUCGUUGUUAUACUAAACACCACUAUAUAUAUAUAUAUAUAUAUAUAUAUAUACUUACAAUAAUAUUCACAUGUUACAUUAUUAAUUGCACAUUUUUUUUUUCAAUUUAUCAUUAAUAUUUAUUCAAUCUUUUUUAUAAACAUAUUGCCUUUAUAUAAUUUCAAUAUAAUUUAUAUUCCUUUUUUCACUAAUUCUUGUUAAUGUACAUUCCUAUACGUACUAUUUUUUAGAGUACUUGGAAUAAUUUAUAUGUAUUCAAUUUUUUAAUUUUACUAUUUAAAUUAUUUUUAAUUUAAUUCAUUAUUUAAAAAUCAAAAUCUCUACAUUUAAAGUUUUAAUCUUCAAAUAUUUUUCAUUGUUUUUCAAUAAUUUUAUUUUAAUAUUAUUACUUCAAUUAAUUACAUAUAUAGAAUUUUCUACACACAUCAUUAAAUUUUUGGUUUAAACCCUUAAAUCGUCCCAGUUUUUGGGGUGCUUUCCCAAUUUCAUCCCUUUCUUAUUAAAAUUUUCAAUUGGAUCCUUAUAUGUGUUAAUUUCAAUCAAUUUAACCCAUUCCGUUAAAUUUCGUUAACACCGUGAAACUUUUGGUGAAUCAAAAGGUUGAUGUGUAAUUUUUUUAAAACGUGGCAUUAGAAAGUUGAAUACGUGGUCUCUCAACCAUCCUUAACCAUGCGAGCUCCCUCUUCUUUCCCUCUUAUUUUCCCUUUUCCUUUGCAAGUCUUUUUCUUUUCUUUCAGUGUGUCUUAAUUUGGAAAAACUGAAAAAGUUUGAAGCUUUUGAGUUGUGUUUUACAUGAUUUUCUGUGAUGGGUUUGGUUUGGUGGAUCUGAAUGAAGAAAUUUCAUGCAGUGCAUUUGUUACAUUGAAAAAACUAAAGUCAACUUGGUCAUGUGCAGGCACAAGUUUCAAACUUUUCCGAUAGAACAACGGUGGCGGGUCAAGCAGCAAGAAGGGUUUUCCAGAUUCUGUUCUACUUGUAUUUUUUCUUGGUUGCAGUCUUGGUGAUUUUCCUUCUCAUAUAUGGUCUUGUCUCUGACGCUCAUACCCACUAUUUCCAUCCUCAAAAAUGGUAUCCCCCACUUCUGCACUGAUCCAAUCCCUCUAUGGUUUCUGCACUGAUCCAAUUCAGGGGCUAACCCUUUAUUCAAUCCUCAUUGGACUCCUUUACUACUGUUUCCUGGUGGCUGGGAUUGAAAUCCCUAAAUCCCUGUCACUGUUUCUGAACAUAAGAGCCAUUGAAGAACCUUAAAUCCCUCAUCUUCUACAACUCCACACAUGCACAGGGAAAUUCCAAUAGAACAUAAUAAAGAACUCUCAACAUCGAGAGUAUGAAGAAAACUGAAAAUUAUGGGAAGGCUUGGCAAGACUGAGAAGAAAGGAGGUGAGGAGCAGCAGCCCUUGAAUCGCAAUAGCCCGUUUCGGGUCUGCGACGGUGCUCCGGCUAUAGUGCUCAGUCGUGCGAAGGCCACGACAUUGUCUUGGUGGUAACUCCAGAUUGCGCGGCGACGCAGCUGGCGGAAAUCGCGACGAUUUCUGAUCUGGGUAUUGGGAGGUGGUAGAAACACGUUUUUAAAGAGGAAGAAUACGGAGGAGAUCAUGUCGUCGUCGGCAAAGCUUCCUGUGGUGACCAGCGUCGCUAGCGACGACCCUGAGCGGUCGAGGAGCAUGCGGUGACGGGAGGAGCUGCUGGAAAUGGUGGUUCACGCGAGGAAGACGAAGAGUGAAGAUCUCAGAUUUCAGAAUCUAUUUUAAAUUUUAAUUUUUCUCAAAUGACAUAUUUUCAUUACCACGUUUCAACACUACCAAGGCCACGUUUAAAUACAUUAACAAGUCAUCCACUCUGUUGGACAAAAUAAUCACGGUGUUAACUUUUUUUAACGGAAAGGGUCAAUUUGAUUUAAAUUGACUCUUUUGAGAAUCCAAUUGGGAGUUUUAAUAAAAAGGGAAUAAUUUUGGAAAAGCGUCCCAAAAAUAGAGACAAUUUAAGGGUUUAAACCUAAAUUUUCUAUGCAUAUCGAUGUAACUGGGUUAACUAAGGAUACUCCCUGCAUCCAAAUUACUAGUAAAUUUGUUCAUUUAUGAAAAAACAAUUCCAUGAAAAUGAACAAUAAAAUUGUAGCUUAAAUUUAUUAAAUUUUGAAAAAUGUUAAGAAAAUAAAUUGACUAAUGUUUUCGUCCUUUUGUUUUAAAUAAAAAUAAAAAUUUGAAAAAAAAAGUUUUGGAAAUAGUAAACAAAAAAUUUGAGCUCUUAUUUCUUUAAAGACAAAUAUAAUUUUUCCUAACAAAUAUAAUAUAACAAUCAUAAGGGGGGAGAAAAAUGCAUGAGAACAAUUUCGACAACAAUCUACCCUAAAGCUCUUUUUGCUUUGUAUAUAUACUUCUAAAUUGCUAUAAACUUUAAAUGUUUAACCAGAGUAUAAACUAGACAACAUGGUAAUUCCACUAAAUUUUGGAGAAAAAGGUGGUAUAAGGUGUAGAAGAAUUUAACCCUAGGGUUGAAUGAAGAACAAACCCUAGGUUUUAGACGAAGAUGCAAGUGAAGGAUUUGGUGGAGCUGGAGGUAGGGGAAGAGGGUAAUAUUCUUGCUGUGGUGAACCUUGAAAACACCUUAAAGGUGAUGAACAUCUUCCAAGGGCAUACUUGUUACCACUAGCAUGGUUAGAAGGGCCUACACCAUGUGAGGUUUUGGGACCAAGCUCACCAACCAUCUCAUCAUGCAGAUACUUCAACUUGUGAACUACUUCACUCAUAAGGGGUCUUGCUUUAGGGUCUAGGCGAAGACAAUGAGUAGCUAUUCUCAUUGUCCUAUGAGCACACUUUGUAGGGUAUUGCCCUUCAAGUCUAGGAUCCAUCAAAUAAUGAAAAUUUGCUUUGUUUCUGAGAUGAGGUCGCAACCAUUCUAUCAGGUUUUGUUCCUCUGCUGGCAUUGUAUCAUCCAAGGCUCUUCUUCCUGUCAGUAUUUCAAGCAGAACUAUCCCAAAGCUAUAAACAUUGCUCUCAGAAGUAAUGUGUCCUGUGUCAUCCACAUUCUUGAUGUGUCAUAAACAUUGCUUUCAUACACAUGAAUCCUUUCAAGAAUAGUUUAGUCUAAAGUUUCUAUAUGCCAUUUUACUUUGUAACUGUGAAAACUUCAACGAGUAAACAUGAUUGAAAGUCUUACAUCGAUUAAAGAUAAGUUCAACUUAUAGUGUAUAAAUAAAUAAAAAUCUCAGCUUAUAAAUCAGUUUUGUAAAAUUAAAUUGAACUUCAAAUUUAAUUCUAAUUAAAAAAGCCUUUAUCUCUAGUCAAUAUAAGAUUUCCAACAAACUUGAUAACCACGCAAGUCAAUGAAUACAAAAGAUCAUAGAUAAAAAAAGAUAGUAAACUAUUCAUCUUCAUAGUUAUUAGAUUUUGGAUGAAAAAGAAAAUUCUUAGGUUUCUCAAAAGAAUUAAAAGUGAAUAAAUUUUGUCAUAAUUUUAAUGAAAGAAGUAAAUAAAGUUAAAACUGAGAAAAUGUCCAAAACAAAGUGAAAAUCUAUGAAUUUGGUGAAUGAAUCAAUAAAAAUAAUAGUUAUGGGUAUUGCAUAGAAGCCCUUCAGACUCAAGGAUCACUAACCUGUCAUCAGAUACUCAGGGGCUUCAUAGCCUUUUCUUGCUACUACUUUAGUUGGUGCAUGAAUUUCUCGAGCAAGACCAAAGUCCCAAAGUUUUGCAUUGUAGUCCUAAAAUAAAAUGGUAUUAAGGUGUUGGAAAAGUUGUUUGUGUCUAAAAAUUAACAUAGUUGGAGAUUGCAAAAUUCAAGUUAUUACCAUAUCCAAUAGGAUCUUAGAUGGCUUAAAAUCUGGAAAUAUUACAGGCCUUGAAGCUUCCUCGUGUAAAAAUGCAAGGCCAUUGGCAGCACCAAUUGCAAUUUUCAUCCUCAUAGGCCAUGUAAGUCGAAGAGUUUCUGCUCACACAUGACAGUAUAGCUUGUUAAUUCUAUGAUAUAUAUCCAGCAUAUACAAUAAUCAUGAAUCCAUUUAAGCAAAAUAAGUUGAAAUUUUACUCAAAAAUCAUAUUAAAAGUACAACUUCCAUAAUUAUGAAGGUAAAUUCAAAUGGGAUUGUUCUUUUUUUUUAUUCAACAAUAGGAUAAGGUAAUACCAUAGAGAUAUAAUCAAGCCUUUAAUUCAAUCCCCCAAAUGCAUUAUAAUCUUUAUAUUGAUAUAUCCCAUUAAAAUAACCAGGCAUCUUUCGUAUUAAUACUAGUUCAAAACUAAGAAAUAAAUGUACAUUUGAUUUGAGUAAAUCUAUUACUUCCCAACUUUAGAUUGGUCUAAUUUGUCUACAAAAUUAGAGAAGAGAAUAAUUAUGGGAUGAUGAGUAUGUUUAUUGAUAUGGAAGUGAAGGAAAUAAUAUGGGGAAUGUGGGAAUAUAAACAGUCCAAGUUGUAUUUGAAAAUUUUACAUCAAUUUUUUU
rnacentral:lncRNA from 1 species